UUUUUGCAGGUUCUAUUCCGAGCUACGGCUUUGAUCCGUUUGUGGUCGUCACUCACUCCGAUGGAGGCCAGGGAGUAUUUGGUUACUGGGUCUACCCGAUGGGAGAUGGCUGCUCGGGUUAUCUUCAACCGGUUUGGAUGGCAGUCAUGUAAUAGGAUAGGCAAUUAGUUUUCCUAUCUUCUUUAGCCAGCCGGUUGUGGCAUUUUAUUUCUGGCUAGUCUGUGUGUCAAUAUGGGCUGCAUUUUCUUUGUUUGAUUUUGAGACUAUGGAACCUUGUAUGCACACUUUGCUGCUUUGGUUAAUAAGAGGGCCGUAUGCAUCAUUCUUGAUGCAGAGGCCGGGGUACCCCCCUUUUCGAAAAAAAAAGGUGAUCGAAGAACAGCAACCGUGCAACUGUGUGUAAAUCAAGUUGGGUUCUUUGUGAGAAAUUUUAACUAUAACGCAGGUGAAUGCAUAUCCAAUAAGAAAAGAAAAGAGAGUGUGCACAUGCGUUUGCACUUUACACUGGUACAUAUAGCUUCAUGUUAGUAAGGCAGAUCAGGUUCGCCAAUUAGGUUCGGGAAUGAAAAGUCGCAGCCUGUAAUUAUCUGUACUUUACACUGGUACAUAUUGUACAAGCGAAUUGCUCUCUGUAACAUGUAAUUAUCUGUUCCAUGGCGUGGUUGUCACCACGAAUUCAGAUUUCUUUUCUUAGGAAAUAAUUACUACUCUAAAUCAUAUAACGUUUGGUCACCCUAUGAGACAAUCGCUACUCCAAAUCAUGCAUAAAUAGUCACGGCCUGUUGUUUUAGUUGCUCAAAAAACUUGCUACAGCAAGAAAUUUUGUUCAUCCAGGCUGUGCUGCCAGUUUACCAUUUUAUCAAUUGAUGUUAGGUACCCCUUUUCAUCACGAGUAUAGGCCAUGGUAGCCUGCUUUUCAAGAUAUUUAAGUUCUGAUGCUACAAAAUUCACAUUCACGAGAUGGGGUGUGGACAACUUCCAAUCCUUAUCCCUUUAGUUUUAUGCUACUCCAAUUGUAUCUGGCACAAUUUGAUACAUCACACGGUCUAGUGUGCAUUGAAACAGUAGUUACAGAGUUUGGCCUCUCUGUCUUGUUUCUGUGUAUACUUCUGAUUCAGACCUGCAACUAGCGUGUUCGUGUGAUUCCGAUGAAUUUGGUACAUUCAAACUUCCAUUAGGAUUUCUAUGAUUUUGGUAUUAUUCCCAGUUUAAGGUAGUGAAGCCUCACGUAACUCUGAGUGUUAUAUGUUCUUGUGUGUUGGCAGCCUUUACCUUUUUGUUGGUAUGCAUCUAGCAACUGAAAAAAAUAUGUUAUUUUCAGGUGUCUAUUCAAGUGGAUGUGAAUGUUUCAUCCGCUGGAGAGAUUGUUGGACAGAUGAAAUUGCUGGGAAAUCUUUGGCCACCAGCAGGUUAAGCUGCUUGAAGACCAAGUUCAAAACAUGUACGAUGGCAGUGUUGCGCCUCUGAGUCUCUUUGCACCCUGAUGUAAUUAGUCCGGUAGUAUUCAGUUCUGUAGUGAUUAUUUCCGAAUUUUUCCUGCUGCUGGUUAUCGAGUUUAAUUGACAUUCAGUGUUCUCCAAAGGAACUUUAUUUGUACUACUAGUCGGGAUGAUUUUUAUUACGUUAGACAUAUCCCGGAACCAUCGCUUACUCUUCUACAUUGAAUGUAUUUAUUACGUAUGUGGCUUUGCUAUUGCUAGGCCAUGUCGUUGAUUAUAUGAUUUUACGGCCAUCAGCCUAGUUCUUACAUUGGCUCUCAAAUUCUGUACAUCAAUGCCUCUCACGGUUUGUUUUUAGAUUGGUUCCAUAAUCUGUACGUUGGCCGUUUCUGAAAUUUCUUAAGCUGGUGCUUGCAGAAACAGUCUGUGUACCGAAUAAAUUAGUGGACCAUUUCUUACAGUGAGCAAAAUUGCCGUGUACAGAACAAUUAGUGGACUAGGUCGAGAAUGACCAUUAAUAGAUCUAGCAAAAAUACCUGCGAUAAAGGAAUGCAGCCUUAUGUUCUGGAAAAAUAGAAUGCAGCAUUAUCCUAUAAAAAACAGGAACACAACCCCAUUGGUUGCCGUAAAAUUACAGUACCAUCUUUUCAUUUUUUAUAGUUCAAUUUAGUUGCGCCAUAGUGGCUUUGAUGACCAGGCCGUAGCUUACAUGCAUGCAUUCUGUAAGAUUACCUUGCCCCCUUCUGUACGUGAGAGACCGGCUUCUUUCUUCUCACCUUAAUCUUAUCUCAAGUGUUUGUGGGGAUUGGACUGGGAAUUCCUCACCCAGGGAUGUAUUUUUCCUAUAUAGGACAAAUUUUAUCUACAAGCAGUGGUAGUUACCUCCUAAUUAUCCAUCGUCGAUGUGCAACAGGACAGAUCGGGUUUGCGGGCGCGCAUGAAUCUGUUAUUCGCAUGCAACCUAGUUUUUUAAUUAAAUAAUCCGGCCGAUUUACCAGCUAGUUUAAACAACCCACUUGAUUGUCGCUGCAUGCAUGCCUGUUGCAUGCGCUAGUCCGUUCGAUCCAUAGUAGUAUCAUUUUUUUAUAGAAUCUAUAGAGUAGUAUGUUGACACGUUAACUGGAUUAACACGUCUUGGAAUUAUGUGUAUGUCUACUAGCUUAGAGUGCUGUUGGCCGGCCAUGGUACCGAAAUAUGCAUGUUUAACAGAGAAUUUUCAAGUUAUUAGUUAAAGGGAUUAAUGAAGAGAUGAGUAUAUUCAUCUAAUCUCAGGAGUAUAUGAAUCUAAAAAGGAGUAUAUCACAAAAAAGGAAGUUGAAAAGGGAGUAUUUUUCAUACUAUCAUACUCCCUUAGUUUCAUAUAGUAUGUAGUAUAUCACAUCACGCAAAAAAUGUAUGUAGUAUAUCACUGAACAUUUUUUUCUAGAAAGAUAGUAUCGAGUAUAUAUGAACUAAGGUAGUAUGGAGUUCAUAUAGUAUGUAGUAUAUCGCUGAACAAUUUUUCUAGAAAGGUAGUAUAUGACCGAAAUGGAGUAUGAAGUAUCUUUUUUUAAUAGUGCGAAGUAUAUUUCUAGAAAGGUAGUAUGGAGUAUAUAAACAAGAAUGGUACUCCCUCCUUCCAUCUAUAUAGGGCCUAAUGCGUUUUUUAAGGUUAACUUUGAUCAAAUGUUAGAGCAAUAAUAUAUGACAUGCAACUUACACAAAGCAUACCAUCAAAUUCGUAUGUGAAAGUAGAUUUCAAUGAUAUAUUUUUCACAUUAUGCAUGUCAUGUACUAUUAAUCUUGUCAAUAGUCAAAGACGGUCUUGAAAAAAGCAUUAGGCCCUAUAUAGAUGGAAUGAGGGAGUAUGGAGUAUGUCGACAAAAACAAGAGAGUUUUUCUUUUAAUUAAGUUGCAAAAAUAUAAAACUAUAGGAUUAACAUACUCCCUCCGUCUCAAAAAAAUGUUUCAAUCUUAAUACAACUUUGUACUAGAGUUAGUACAAAGUUGAGACACUUAUUUUGGGACGGAAGAAGUAGUAUAUUUUAUCAUUCAUGUGUACACAUCAUGUAUAUGUAUAUAUACCUCAACUUGAAGUAUGUUGUAUGUAAACCGUCCUAAAAGAAUACUCCGAACACCAUUCUAGUGACCAUACAGGUAUUGUCAUCAUAGGCUACAAUCAGUACAUUUUACUAACAUGAACGAUAGUGGAGUCCAAUGAUCGAUUGUAUCUAUACAAUCCUGGCCGCCGGCCUGCUGAUAUACACAAGGCAAAACGAACUAGUUCUACUAAGGACAAGCCAUGGAGAUUUAGAGCGUGCAAAACAUCUAGCUAGAUACUCAUGAUACGUAUGCAUGUCUUGUAGCCAUUGUUGCCGCUGGAUUAUGGGGUAGCAGAUCAGGUAUGUAUGGACGCGGUUUUUGUCCUUCGCGUUCCAUUCAUAGCGGCAAUCCAGUCCGCUAGCGCUAGCAUGUGGAUUCGCGUUGCAUGUCGGCCAGGAUAGAGUCGGACCGAUGACCGCUCUCGUAUUCAUCUGUAUCUCAAUUUAUCACCCCUCCACUCCCACCGUAUUCCACAGUAACGGGCCCCCCUUCCCUGCCCCCACCACCACACUACCCCCUUCUUCCUCAUUUGUCUCUAGCAAAAUAGAGCAUUGACCACGAGCUGUUCUUUCUCAGCGUCAAUGGCGCCUAGGAAUGGCUACACAGGAGAAGGAGGGAGCUCAGUCAUAUCCACGGAUCUAAGCCAUGGCAGUGUUGAAUCAGGCGAAUCUCUUCAGGUUAUGUUUGCUCCCCUCUCUUUUCCCACUCCCCCCUUUUUCUUUUGGUCAGAUCCGCUUCUUCUUAACCUCUUUUCAUCUUCUGAUCUGCAGCCCGUCCAACCUACGGCCGAUGUACCUCCAGAAGAGAUUCCGGAUCCAGAGUUCUUUAGCAUAGAUACUUCCUCUCCACAUAGGUGCCAUCACGAAAUGCGUCUAGCAAGAAAAGUGGCUUUCGUCUACGCGGCCACAGGCAGGAGGUUCCUUGGAUGCCCUCUCUCGGUGAGCAUUUAGUAUCUGAUUCAAUUAUCUAAUUUUUUGCAUUUCAGUUUGCAGACAUUCAAAUUUCUUCUAUAUCAUCCCAAUUUUAUCUGUAUGCAGGGACCUGAUAGGUGCUCCUGGUUCAUGUGGAUAGAUGAAGCAUGGGGUCCUGUACUUAGCCGUUCAUUAAUACAACUCUGGGAUCAGGCUCUCCUGGACUCUGGAAGAGCAGCAAGGUUGCAGACAAAGAAAAAGGAAAUGGAGCAAGCAUACUUAGAGUUGUGGACUGAGAGGAGCAAUAUGGAGAUUGAAAACUAGCAGGUGGUCAACAAGUUGAAGACCACAAUACUCGACACUGAGAUUAAGAUGUCAAGGAGGUUGGAAUUUCACACUAAGAUGUGUGGCAUUUAUUUCUUCAGCUGUUACCCUUGCUUCAGUGCUCGCUUAUGUGCUGUCUGCACACUAGUGUAGUUUGUUGGUGAUCAUGUAUGUGCUGAAUUAGGAUGUUUCGCCACAUUGUAUGACCAUUAAGUUACACCGGUAUGUUUUAUUCUGUAUGUGCCAACUGAGUUCUAGUUUGCAGAGCCCGAAUUAAGUUGUUAUUUAUCCCUAAAUAUUUUAUUAUUACCUCCCUUGGCAAGAUCACUCAUGUUCGGUUUUGUUUCUAUUGGCCGCGUGCAAGAAUUGUUUUCCAUUGAAAGUGUUGCAUAUUAGAGCUGCAAAAGUACUCUUGCGAAAAAGCAAGAAGUUUGUUAAGUUCUUCAGAUGAUACAUAUAAAGUUCCAUAGGCAUUUCUUCAAUUUUUACGCUGUGAUAAGUAUAUAGUUUGUUGCUUCCUGUCAUCAGUACCCAUUUUCAAACAAAUCACUAGAGUUAUCCUUUUUUUAAUAUUCCAACUACGAUGGUGCUUAUGCAAUGCAUAUUUUUCUGUUUAAUCGAGGAUGUUUUCCGAAGUCGCAUAUGUACUGAGGGGGAAACGGUUCAUUCUCUUUCCCAACUAGGUUAGCCGAAGACCACUGCCAACAUAUAGUGUACUGUUUCCAAUUAUGAAGUUUGGUCGCAUUAUACCUAUGCUUCAUUUGGAUCAUGCAAAUAUCCGUGGCAAAACAAAGGAUUCGACCUCAGGGUCAUAUUCACUGUAAACCUCAUGAUUAAGAAGGUACUCCUCUCUUCCCUUUAUAAAACCAUCAAUCAAACGCAUUCCCAGUACUUUAACAAUGUUGUAUCAACAUAUUCAAGUUAGUUGCCUAUUUCCCAGAAAAAGUGAUUAAUCAGAUCGUGAACUUAUUCCAUUGGUCCUAAUGACCAGGGGCGGUGCCAGCUAUCUGGCAUGGUUUGGCUGCUGCAACACCUACAAUUUACUGUAAAAAUACCUAGUACACUGCUUCCAAAUUUACAAAUUUAAAAUCGCUUAGGUUCAGUUCCUGUUUGGCUUUGUUGGUGGAUUUGAUGAAUUUUUAUGUAGGGUCAGUGAUCUCAUGACUGUAGGGCUCUACACCGACUAGUCAGCUUGAUAAAUUGGUCGGAGACUUGCAAGUUGUUGCUUUACUCCAUAGACGAGCAAAAACAUAAAUAUACUAUCCGGACCGCUAUGUCACUAUUGCCAAAAUACUAGAAAGUCGAAACCCUCGUGAAGUUUUGAUCAUUCAUGGAGGCGGCAAGGCACGCAGUAGAAGACAUUGAACUGAUAGCGGCUACCGUUGGUGAUCAGUCUGGGCCAGACAGUGAGGACUCUAGGGUCCAAGGACAACUAGGCUAGUGUGUCACACUGAUAAUUAUAUAUGGGUUCCACCUUUAUAGACUCCGCCAUAUCUACAAUUUAUUUCUGCCUUCUGAACUGCUAAUCACCCCUGCUAUUAUGUGGUAUUUUGAAUGAUGCCACAUUGGUCCGUAUGCGAAACAAUUAAGUGAGAACAGCUUGCAAAUUUAAUAAAUUAACAUGUUCACCAAGUGAAAGCAAAUUAAUUCUGAUCACAUCAUAGUUUUAAAGACCGAAUAGUUUGGGAAGUUCUAUGAAUUCUCUUCCGAGGCUAAACAAACAUUCAAUUCAAGUAGUCCAUCCACUCCCGGCAAAAUAACUUGUUCAUAUUGUCCUUCUUGCGAACAAGUCAAUCCUUGAUCUUGUCGUUCUUGCUAAUAAGGCAAUCCUUGUACCUCGCAGGCAGAUGACCAAUGUUACCUUCAGAACCAAGCAAGUCCACAAGCAUGUUCAUCCUAGCAUGCAUGACACCGUCACCCUGCGUUUGUUAAAAAAUUAGUUAUAGGUCGCAAAUCAACAUGCUAACCCACUUGUUCUGCAAGCAUCUUCAUUGUUGGAAAUUCCUUACCGGGUUCAUGUCCCUUUUCAGUUUAGUUCCCAUCCAAUUCCUUCCAAAGUGAGUAGCAUAUAUGUCCGUGUCUUCCCUGAAAAUCAUGUCAAAUUCAGAAUGUCAGUAACUAUGCUUAUGAAUAGACACGAUUACAUAAAGUAAGCAUUAUUCACACAACAAAUCAUUAUUUUCUGCAUAUCCCUGUUGCCAGGCCCCUUGGGAAGCAUGUAUUCCACGACCUCAUGUCUGGCUCCCAUCCAGAGAAGAAUGACUUUAUGCAUAUCUCUAUAGCCUUGUGAAGCUCGUCUGCAACCUUCCUGUGCCUGAGCUGAAUUACCUUAUCAGACUCGUCACCAUUGUUCAUUGUUGGGUCGAGGACAAAAAUCUUCGCCCUUGGAAAGUCCCAUAUGUAUGUAGACCAUUUGAAGUCGAACUUAACUAGCAACACAACCUGUUAAUUGGAAAAAAGGCACUGGAGUUUAUUAAAUAAACAUUAUUUAUCAAAUCUUUUAAAUCACUUUUGUCUUUUUAAAAGGUCACCUCGGUGCACUUGUGAACCUCGUAAGUGAUAUGCGGCCCCACGAACAUGUCCUUGAUGUACCUCAGCUUUGAAAUGUUGUCUCCUCUGCUAACAUGGUUCUGCAUGUUUCGAAUUUAUGAGUAACACUUAGCUGAAGCAUGGAAUUUUUUGUAUUGAUCAAUGAUUUCAACUGAAGUUCCUCACCACAAAAUCUGGCUCCAGCCAAUGUCACCAACAUCCUUCCCCUUUUGUAGCAGCAAAGACCGCAUCCAUCUGUUGGUACCUUCUCAUCACCAAUGUCAUCAGCACACUAUCCACCUCACCACCAUCGCGUAGCAUCUCACGGAGCCGCUCCCCACUGAUGUCCAUGUAUUUUGGGUUGAUGCUGAUAAUCCACAUGCUGCACAGUUGAAAUAGAACAUAUUGCGGUCAACAAACUAGGCUUUACCAAUGGUAAGGAUGAAAAACGAACUCGAACUAUGGUUUUUUCCUGCUGAGAGCUUACUCUUUUAGCUUGUUCGCGUUCUCCCUAUAGAAUAGCUUGUAUAUCUGCACUACAUUCGCUGGAGCUCUAGUAGGAGGGUCAUUACCCAUUACAAAGGGAGACCUUGCAUAUUUCCCAGGCCUCACCACCCUCUUUGGCUGAGGCUGUGUGCUAAAUGAUCCCUGUGACAUAGUGACGUUGAGGUUGAUAGCCGCCUCCUCUAUCUCCUCCCUAAUGUCAAGCUCGACAGCAGACAUCUGGCGGUUGAGGCUAACUGGAGAAGUCCUUGAAGAUGUACCUGCAAACAUUUGGUUUGGUGCUGGAGUGGCAACAAUCUGCAUUCCUCAAUCUGCAUGGCGAACACGGCAAGGUUAGCACGCAGGUCAUGACCUAACUGUAUUAGCUGUAUCUAUUAACAUUUAACCCCAGCUGGUAAAAGAAUCACGGUUACCUUCAGGAGUUUGCAUCUUGGUUGCUGCAGAACCAGGCGUGAUGUUUGCGGAAGCAACCGACACGCCUGAAACAAGUUAGUAAAUAAUGAAUUAGCUUCCCGAUUCAUUAUUUUUCAGUCACAAAGGAUGAUCCAUCAUACUGAUUUUAAACCAUACCGUUGGACGUUGAAACGGCUGUAAAAGCAUUCAUCAAGGCCGUCUUCCUAAGACCUGACAUUACAACUUUGAACUUCCCAUGCAUCUCUGGAGGAUCUAUUGAUAAACAUCCACCUAAGUCAUCAUCCUGUCCUGAAGAAACUAUUGACAAUUGAUUCUUGUCAACACCAUCCUUUUGGUUCUCUGCAGCUUCAUCAGUUCCUGUUGCUAUUUUUGGAGAGCAUAUAACUUCAUUUCUUGCCGCCCCACACACCACUGACAUCUCCAAGUUGUUCCCUGUAGUAUUGUCCAACAGCCCUGUCGCAUUGCCAACAAUCCCACUGCGCAACCUACUGUAUUCAUCUGCUGCUUCAAUCAGAUCAUCUAUUGCUUUGUUUGCUUCUUCUUGAGCACCUUCAGAUUCUUCAGAGCUCUCUAUCCUUGCCCUCUUCGGUGUGUGCCUCCUUGAUGUAACAACCUUCUUUCUUUUCACACCUAAUUUGCUCUUUGCCAAUGGUUCCACGUUAGCGGAAGCUCCCUCUGCCGACUCUAUGCUUAGUGCAUUCUCUGCAUCCCCUUGAACCCCUUGAACAUCUGAGAAAUUACACAACAAACGGGUUAGACAGUUGACAGUUUUUAUUCUAAGAACAAACAUAAUUCUAUUUCUUGUGAAUUACAAUACCUGCUUGGGUUGAAUAAUUGGGCCUCUGCUUUCGUGCCCUCAUUGCAUCAGUUAUCUGGUUGAUGUCUGCAAUUAUCUUCUUAGUUUCUGAGAGUAUUAACCCGUUAGUAUCAUUGACAAUCUCAUCCCAUCCUUCUGCGUGUCUCUUGUUUAAUCUUGCUCCCUUCCUUGAUGCCUCAUUUACAGCUGUCUUGCACUUGUUGGAGUACUGCUCGACCUUGUUGAUAAUAAUACCUGCAAACUGAAUUUUAUCAAAGUUUACCCAAUAAAUGAUGUCAGUUUAUGUUCCAUAUAUUACUUACUCAUCAAUAUAUUUGACCUAUAUCAAAACUUACAUUUGUGAACACUUUAUCACCCCCAAUUCCCUCUGUGCUGCACCCAAUCCCGUAUCCAUCAGUUGUUUUCUGAGUUGUUGUUGCCAUGGUAUUACGGCUGUAGCGUACUGUCCCCGGAUGCCUUGGCUGUAAAUAUUUAUCCAGAAAGGUUUCAUCAUUGCAAAGCAAUAGGCAAAGGUGACUUAUCUAUAUAAACAUACCAGACAGAGUAAAAGCAAAUGGGAACCAUGCUAGUACGAAUAUGACAUAAGCAUCAAGUCAUCUCAUAGUUAGAUAUGCUAGCAACGCGGCCAUUUGUAACAGCUCAAUCAAUAGGUAUACCACACAUGUCCUACUAACACAAUAUCCUUUCCAUCACAAGAUUAUUUUACUAUACUUGUUUUGUAUCUUAACUUACCAGUAGGUGUCCAUACACUACAAUCUCUGCAUCUUUCCCAGUUGUCGUGUCUUCAUCAAUAACAUCAGAGAUAGUCUUCUAUGAGUAUUCCUUGCACCUAGGGAACACAUCGUGGGGCAGGUUCUUAUCUUCUCGUUCGAGAUUGUCAAGAUAGAAAACCUGUGACAUGAAACAAAUUUGUGAUUAAUUGUUUCGUCACAAGUUGAAUCCGAAGCAAUGACAUUCGCUCAAACCUGCAAGAAGAACGUGCAUCCAGUGAGAUUUGACUUCAGUUUCCCACCUAGCAGUUCAGACUUCACCCUACCAGCAGAAGAAAGGAGCUCUUCUCUAAUGUACCGUCCCCAAUUGAACAUUUGAACCAUAUCAGGUAUGUGCAAGGCAUUCCAAUAAUCUGUCAUGAAAUAGUUGUGCUUCAGCGGAGGUGCCAGGAGGAAAGUCAUCGCGCAAAUUGUGAAGGCAACCUUGAACUUGUCUGCUUCAGCCUUUGUCAUAGCUCUGCCAUACCGAAUCUUCACUAUGUUAACUAUGGGUGUGAUCUUUUUUUCUCCAUUGCCGAUUCCUAAGAUCUCACGUACAGUACCUGCCACGUGCGGCGGUGCAUUCUUGUUAACAGGAGAUCCUACUGAUGGCACCCCCAGUACCUUGCCGACGUCUCCGUCGUCGAAAGGUAAUUCUCUCCUAGCAUCAAUUAUGAUAGCAGAUGCCUUCUCGUCAACUUUGCUCAUAAGCCACAUGGAUUGUUGCCUGUUUGCCUUAUUGCUGGUAAUUCCAAUAGUCCUUCGAACCCCAUCUCACGUACCAGAGCCUUUUUUUCUUCAGACAGCCCAUCAAUCAAGGCCUUCAUCUUUUUUAUGCUGCUCCUUGAAUUUAUUGGGUUUUGUGAUGCCUUCUUCUUGCCCUUUCUAGCGCCAUCUGACUCUAACUCUUCUGGUGUACCGAUGUGUUGUGUAGGAUACACAUCGAACCCUUCUGAUGAUUCCUCAUCGGAUUGCUUGUAAUCAGAUGAGGACGAACCAGACACCAUUUUCUGCGAUGUAUUUAGAAACAAAGUCAGGCGACAUAUAUAAUAUAUAUCACGAUUAAAAAAAGAUGGUCAUCAUUGUUGUAUGAACCUAGAAAUAAUUAUCAGUUUGUCAAUCUCUACAGACAUCAUAAUAUUUCCCCCAAUUGUACACUCACAACAAUACAGUCAACAUAGUAAGAAUGAUUUUCUAAUCUAAACCAUUACCAAUCCUUCUAAGUUUCCUUACAGCCGACGGACCUCUAAAAAAUCUUUAAUCCCACUGUGUAUAAAUACUGAAUAUACAAGCCAUACUAUAGAAUGCAGAUCGACACAAAAUUAAGUCCACGGAUAUUGUAUUCUGUUAACAUGUCCUCUCUUGUUAAGCAGUCAUUCUCAUGUUUUCACAUUUCUUCCAGACAAAAUAGCUUUUUUAUGUUAAGUUCCAGCUAAGAAUUCAUUUGUGUGCAGAUAUAAAAAAUGGACACUAAAGCUCCCUAUUUUUAGAUCAUUUUCCAAAAGCUUACUACUGAUAUGUUGACCCCCACCAUGCAUAUUUUCUUUAUAUAUGUAUCGUUUUACUGUUUUCUGAUGCAAACCAUUAACACUUAUGAAUUGUAACACUUUGAUACCGCUAUUAUUAUCACAGAAUCUAAUGGGAGUUCUCUUCAACAUUAGGUAUAUAACAUCCAUGACAUGCAUCGGGUAUCUCAGGUUAGAGUUAAAAAAACUCCAUGCCGUGCAUCAGGUAUUCACAACUUCCAUAAAGAUGUAUCAGGUAUCUCUAAUCUUACCCUAAAUAUCCCAUACCAAACAAUUGCAAACAAUCAAGAACAAGAAAAACUACUUGCGUUUGGAAAUGCCACAGAAACCAAACUACUAAAAUGAUAAAUAUGUUGUUGAAGAUCCAAUCAUCAGGGAGGAAAUCAACAAACACUGCCCAACUCGAACAACGAACAUGUGGUAUCUUUUUUCCAGUAGAACCAGUGAGGAGCUCCUAGUUCUUCAUCCUUGGGGAGAAGGAGCUCCUGGUUCUUCAUGUUUUUGGGGAAGGAGCUCCUAGUCCUUCAUCCUUGUUUUGAAGGAGCUCCUAGUUCUUCAUCCAGGGUGGGAAGGAGAUCCUAUUUCUUCAGCCUUGGGGAGAAUGAGAGAGGAGCACCAAAUGCGAAUGAAUGUAUGACAAUGGACUCUACCCUCUCACAGCUCUUCCCUUCAACAAGUGUUAGGUUCUAGGUGUCUAGACAAGUGUUUGGAAUCUUUUUGUACAUGACACACAGCUACCCGCCCUUGGCUUCCAAAAAGCCCUUGAAAUCUGAGCCACAGUAGAUUCAGUUACAAAUGACUAUUUCACCCUCCUGCAGAAAGCACGCUAAAUUUUAUUAAUAGUUUAUGAAGCAACUGUACUCAAUCUGCUGAGCUCAAAACAUUGGGUUAUUAUCUUUUUUUCCAAUUGUAUUAAUUAUCUAAGCCACUAAAUGCCAUAUGAAACGUGGAUCCAUUAAGGUUCAUAUUUUGGUAUAGUUGUACAGUAUUAAACCACCUUGUUUCUAACGGUCAAAUACAGCCAGAAUGAAAUGUACAGUUGUUUGGUGUUCAGAUAGAACAUCCAAACAAGACUGUAUACUACAACGGUUGGCACACACAAACGAAAGGUUCUGCAUUGAUGGCAUUCAGGUACAUUAAUUGUUGAAUAUUAAGUGCAUAUGUAAAAGGCAUACUCCUUGGUUCACUGCCAGCUUCCCCGAACUUCUUUGAUCUUAUUAGGUUCUUCGGCACAUGAAUAUUAAGUUCAUUAGUACAAAAAAAUUGCACCUUCAUGAAAUGUGUUCCUUUUUCGUCAUCCAUAGAUCCCUAGGGCGUGGCUACACUUGUGCAAAAUGAAAACAUGCAUGACGGGUACAAAAAUAACUUGGUGGGUGACCAGGAAAUGUAGAAUGCAAGGAAUACAAAUUCUUGAUAGUUCAACACCAUCCACUUAACUAAAAGCCCGACAUUUAAAUCUACUGCUUACUUGACACUACUAGCAUUGAAGCAUUUCUUAAGAAGACGAAUGAUGCCGGUCCUAAGACUCACACUAAUGAUAAGGUUGCAAAUAUAACUAAAGGAAGGUACUUUCCUGGUUUGCUAACCCAUUUGUUCCCACUUAAUCUGAACCAACUAUUCAUUUCCCAACCCAAGCAGCCCCGAUUGCGAUCAUGGCUGCCACUGGCACGGUGGACGCGAGUGCAAGUUGUAGCACCUUGUUCAUCGUCCUGAGGUUCCUGAUCUCCCUGUUCCUAUCAGCCAUUUCCUCGAUGAACUCGUCUCGGUCUUCUGUCACCUCCCGCAGCUUCACUCGUUCAGCUUGGAUUCUCUUUUGCAUGUAUUCCUCCAGUACAUCCUCCCACACGUAGACCUCGCACGCUCUCCUCUGAACCUGUACAUAAAAAUCAAGAAACAAGAGCAAAAGAAUCUUUAGCUAGUGCAGGUACUGAACUGAAUCUGCUACAUUUUGUAUUAUCUAUAUAUUCUUACCCCAUAGUUCACGCAGCUGAAGUAGAACUUGUCCUGCCUCGCCACCGCAGAUCCAGCUUUCCUGGCGCAUGGCAUGCCGCAUGCACAUCGAAGUAUCGGAUUUCCAGUCGACAUGUUCUUGCAGAAGAAGUGUUUGUUCUUGCAGAAGAAGUGUUGUGCCGAUUCAUGUUCCAUUCCACUCGUAUGUAUAGACCUUGAAUUUAUUGUAUGCAGCUGUCUACAACCAACCAUAGUACGCAUGCUUUCGGCGCUACUGAAGGGGGCAGUGUCCGGGUCGUGCCCAUACGGUGUGCCGAUCGAACAAUAAAGUUGUGAGGUCAAAUCGACCUUAUCUCUAUUGCAUCGUUGUUUGAGAGGAGUGCAUGGUCGACUGGUCAUUUUGACUCACCCGUGAGCUGUGCAACACUCUGGAUAGUAGGGCAUGGGCGACAUGGCGUUGUACCACUCCUCCCUAAUUGAUGCAUGUUUUCUGUUAUUUUAAUACGUCCACUUUCCCUCCUCAUCUACUCCACGGCAUACACUCCCUCUUCACAUGAAUUGGUUAAUCAACAAUUCUCCAUUGGGAGAGCCUUAAACUCGUCAUUGGUAUCUCAGAGUCAGUUUGCCCCAUUUUCAUAUCAACACUGGAAAAAAAACUAUUUUCCUUAACCGUGUAUCCCACUGAGAAACAAGUCAAAAAAACUGCAUUAUCGUUCGGAUAACGCCUCCCUUGGAUCCCUCCUGCCCAGCUCCCACCUACAUGUCAAAUCAACUUAAACUGCUGCCCUGCUUGAACUCUCUAUACGCUAGUACCUCAAAGUUGUAUAUAACUCAACCAUCCCUACCUCGUUCUCCUACACACCAACGUCAUGGAUCACAAUGCCGACGAGACGGAUGCUCUGUUCACCGGCGAAGCCAUGAUUGUUCCCCCCGCACGCUCAACUGCCACUACCGUCAUCCCCGUGAGUAUUGCCACCGGCCUUUGCUUUCAAACUGGCAUUGCAGAAAUCAUUGAUAUUUUGUUAAACCAUAUUAAAUGUAUAGGCUCAUCCAUCCACUCUCAGGCCUAUGACAAUUAAGCAGUUGUAUGAUGGAUUCCUGGAGGACAUAGAGCGUUACCCUAUCGUAGUUGACGGAGACACCGUGUCAUCAGUGAGUCUAUAUAUAAAAUCAUUUAGAUUUUCAAAAACCAUCCACUAGCUGUUCUUAAUAUAUGUCUUCAUUUGAUAGGUGAUCCUGAUAGGAACUGUUUCACACUCUACUGUUCGAAUGAAUCACUGGUCCUUCGAUCUACAGGAUGCCACAGGGUUAAUCAACAUAUCUUUCUGGUACUAAUUUCAUCGUCAGUAAACUCCUUGUAUCCAAAGAACUUCAGAAACAAUGCAUUUAACCUUUUGCUCCAUUUUUUUUGUUCUUCUGUCAGGCCGGAAACAACUUCCGACUUUAAACUUGCUUGGUCAUCAAGGUCUGAUUUAUGUAUUAAGAUAAAAAUAAUAAUUUGCAGUCCUAGUUUUUCAACUAGUUGGUCAACAAGCCCACUGUUUCAAUUGUUACAUCUUAUUUGCAGCAAUGGCGACUAUGUUCAACUAUUUGGCAAACCUGCCAUGAAUGACAGAUUCCUUUAGAUUAAAGCUUUCAAGAUCAGGUUAUUUUAAACCGCAUCUUUUUUCUGUGUCAUAAAUUUUUCACAUAUAACAUUCUUUUUUACACAUAGCCAUACAUUUUAAAAAUAUUGCAGGUUAAUCGAAAACUACAAUGACACCACGCACCACUACUUGUAUACCAUACACACCACAUUAGACAUUCGUAAGAGAAACACCCACAAGGUAAUUCUUCGUGUUUUUUGUAAAAUGUACCUAAAUGAUACAUACAUUCUUUCUCACAUACAUUACCUCUCAUAGGCAAGAAUGGAACCUGACUCCACAGCAUCAACUGUUUUCCCAAAGGGGCCGUCAAUUACCCCGUCGGAGGUGCCCUUGCAUUCGUCAACAAAGGACAAGAUAUUUGCCAUCCUGCGAGACCCAGCUUACCGGUAAGUACUGUAUGGCUGGUACAUAAAGUUCUUUGAUUAUUACGAAAGCUAAAUGCAAUAUCCUGAACUAAGUUCCUUUGACCAUUAAACAUGUAUAUCCACAAAUCUCACAAAUAACAUAUAGGUCCUCGUGCCAUGCAGGACCAACAGUUAAAACAUAAAGUUCCAUGAUCCAUCCAAAGGAUAACUCCAUUUUUUUCUCUCAUUUGCCCUAACACAGCGAUAUUCAGCAUGGCGUUAGCUUGAAGUUAAUCCGUAGUGCACUGGACAUCAGCCAGGACGAGAUAAUGUAAGACAUCACAUCAUUAAAUUCAUUUAGCCUAUUUCCUUAUUCAACUUAUAGUUGACACAUUUUCCAAUUACAACUUGGCAUAAUUAACCAGGCAAGUCAUUACAGAGCAAAUCUACAUUGGGAUGAUAUACACAACUGUUGAUGACAACCACUUCAAGUCCUCCAUCUGAAUUGGUCAAUUAUCCCUGUGUUAAUUAUUAGAGCUAAAUAAUGUACUUGAGUGUCAGACAUUUAUGGUUAAGCCAUUAUGUGGAUUUUCAGUUAGACCUAUCAUGAUUGUAAUAUUUAUUUCAUCACUUUAGCAAUUCUCUCAGUUAUUUUAUUAUGUGGUUUCCCUUUCCCAAUUCUCUCGGUUAUUUUAUUAUAUGUGGUGUCCCACAUCAACACUUUAUUAUCUGGUGUGCCAUAUCAACACCUUUUUCCUGGCGCACCUGCUGGAUAGGUGCCAGUGUGCCACCCUUACACCCCAUACCACUCUUCUUCCCCAAACUAACAUCUGUCGUUCUCUAUCCACCAUGGACAUUGACCAGAUAGAUUUUUCAUCUAGCUUAGAUAACAAUAUUUUGAGUGAGAUUUUCAUCAGGCUAGGAUGCACUAGAUCCCUUGUUCGUAGUUCUGUAGUGAGUCCUAGAUGGUUUGAGAUCUGUACCUCCCAGCAGUUCAUCAUGGAGUAUGCUCGCCGCAAUGCUCCAGCCGUCCUCGGAUUCAUUGCUGCAUUCGAGCGCCUCUUCGAGCUGCACGUACGUCUUGUGGAUGUCGUUGCUUCCCCUCCUGAUCCAGGACAAGCUGCUCUGCUUGCUAGGGUUGACGUGGCAACCUUUGCCAUGGAGAACAUCCUUGCAUCUGAAGCAGGUGAGUUGCUCGUCUUGGUCAGAGGUCUCGACGGCGGGUUCUUCUCUGUCUGUCCAAAUCCUCCAUUUUCUCGGUCAUUCUUAGCCCCUAGAAUGCCUAGAGUCCCCCUGUUCCAACAUCAGCACACCCCUAAUUUAUAUGGUCAAUUUGGUGUCAUUCUCAUUGACAGCAGGCCUAAUUUUUCGUUCUUCGUUAAGCAAGCAGCAGGCCCUUUUGUCCGUUCUUAUUCUGGUUUGAGUUUCAGUUCAGUUGCUGACCUAUAUGUCCAUGUUUGCAUCCUAAAAAACAACGAAUGGUCACGCUUUGUUUCCCCACCGCUUCGAACUCCUCCUGGUAAUGAUGGACCAUUGUUCCAUUGGGAUCCAUACUAUCUCCUAGUUGGUUCCAAUCUAUACAUGAUGUAUGUGGUAGGAUUUGUGGUUUGCUUCAACAUAGAUACUUUUGUCUUCUCCACUGUCCAGUUCCCUGUAAGUGUCACUUCCUGCUUUGAUUACCACAUCUCUAGGAGCAGUUCAGGUAUCAUAUCAUUUGUUCACAGUGACAAUCUAUCACUUCGCACAUGGAGAUUAUCAUCACGAGAGCAUGAAGAAACAGCAUGGUUUCCUAUGUCAGAGAUAAACCUUGCAUCAUCCUUUGGAAGCCGAUGUCAGCAUCCCAUGUGGCGUCAAUUAUUCCUUGGAGUUGAUUUAGACGAUGGCAUUCAUUCUAUGCAAAUCAGGUCAUCUAGCAUAGAUUUGUCCUUUGUCUUCCUGAAAUUCAGCUUUCAUCAUGCAAUUUUCAUUUUGCAGCAACUCAAGCGGCAACGUACAUGAGGUGCAGUACCUUGAUGAAGAUGGCGCUCUAAGGUCUAUUGUUUCUCUUACAGAGCAUUGGCCACCAGUGGUUAAUAUGCCUAAUCAUGAUGCACCAUAGAGAUAAACAUGGCAAUGGCCGUGACACUUGUGUAUCUUCCUAUUCAAAUUUAUCUUUAAGUACUGUCCAAUGUAAUAUCUUAUUAUGUUCCUGGUUUGUAAUCUCCGAAUACUAUUCGACUUAGUAAUCCCUAUGUAUUUUUAGUCUUUGCUUUCCUAUACAUAAUCCAUUUAGCGAGAAGAAUCAUUUUCAAGCUCAUUUUGUUGCACCACGUAUUUAAAUGUAUUGAGCAUUUGUUCCGAACUUUGAAUAGGAAAAAACUGACUAUUAUGUUGAUCCACUUAUGAUAUUUAUUUCUGUUGAAAUAUUUUCGGUGUGAAGAUAUAACGAUGUAGAACAGAAAGACUUGUGGAGUAUGCCAGUCCAAUGUUUUUUUGGAGCUUGACAUAAUAUAUCAAUUGCUGAAGUCCCGAACUACUUUUUGAAUUUAUUUGUGAUUCCGCUAAACAUUUAAACACUAAAUUUUAAGGGCCUAGCAAUGCGGUACAGUUAUCCCACAUAAACCGCUCAAGCCAAUUCAGCGAUAUAUAAAUUAAGUGUGUCACGCGUUUUAUCAAAGCACUUGGAUUCUUUGUGAAUGAUUGUGAAGUUCAUUAGUUUCGACCUCUCAGGGGCGGAACACGCAUGAAUAAGUUUUUCUAUCCUAAGCGAUGAAGUGUGGUACACUUUUUAACAAAGUACUCAGAUAGUUAUGGAUGAUCUUAAAGUCCUUUCCAUUCGUCCUAUGAAGUGCGCAAUGUGCAUGAAUAACUUUUUGUAUUCUAAGUGUUUAGAAUAUUUCCUAAGACAUUUUGAAACCUAUACCUCAAGUGUGCCACACUCCAUUAGUUUCAUAUCAUUCCUCACACUCCAGGGCAAUUUUCCUAGAGUUAUUGAAUCGAUUUUAAUGAUGUUAGGGUGAUUCCCAAUCGAGGUCUGAAUUUUGGGCCUUUCAUUAAUAAAAAUGUGAUAGGUCCUUCGCGCAGUGUACCUUAUGUCCACACACCGCUUUAUAUGGUUUUAGAAAAUUAAUGAUGUUUUUUAAGGGCAUCCGCACCCAAUAGCCAUGAAUGGCUCGUUUCGUAUACAUUAAUCGCGCCUCGCAGUUUAGCAAAGUACUGACAUUGUUAUUGAGCCCUGUAAAGUUCUUUCAGGUCGACUUCUCAAGUGAGGAACCUGCAUUAACAACUUUUCCAGCAGAAAAGGUUGAAAUAAAGUCGACAAGCCCUUCGUGUCGAAUUAAUUAAUUGCACCACAUGCCUUUUAACAAAGUGCACAAUUUGCUACGGAUGAUCUAUCAAGUGUUGGGAAACGUUGCAUGUAAAACAAAAAAAAUCCUACUCACAGGCAAGAUCCAUCCAUGGAGAGUUGGUGAGCAUUUUCACACCCUUGAAGACCGCUAAGUAAAAGUGUUUAUUAACGCGGUUCAUGUAGUCAUACAUUAUCACGAUCCUUCCCUAUAAAAUUCCGAACACACGACACCUCUGUGUGCUGCAAACGUUCAUCUCAAUGACGUCCUCUCCUUCUUCACUGGGAAAUUAGUAGAUUUGUCCCGCAGCAAUACAGAAACUAGACGGGUGAUAUACUAGAUGGCACGGGAUUCCUUGGUUAAUAUUGAUGUGUCUUAUGUGCUAUUCCUGCCCCUAUAUUUAUAAGUUCAGCCCUGGUGGUGCCGGGGCUUGGAGUAAAAGCCUCAUCAAAGUGGCUUUUACAUGAAAGGCAGGAUUCAUUCUCUUACUGCGGGACCAGACGCCAUGGUUCCCGUUGUCUGGACCCAGACGCCACGGACCGAGGGGAUUGGCCACUUGACCCAAAGAAAGUGUUCUCGUGCCCAAACACUUAGGGAGACAUCUUAAACACCUUUGAUAUCAAACACUAUUAUCAGCUAUAUUAAUCUUUACCUCCUGAAUAUUCCGUAGUUCCUCAUCAUGACCGUGAUGUCAUCCAGAACUCCGAACAAAAUUUGUUCACCAACAUAGAUAACUCAUAUAAGACUAUAUCUUGAACAAAUGUUAAUCGUGCGGCCCCAUACGGGUUUGAACGCCACGUAGACAUUACCGAUACGCCUAUCAGUUCAAUAACAAGUAGCCGAACAUGGAUGACAACAUAUGUAAUUUCCAUUGCUAUCUUAAUUGCUCGAGAUUCGAUCGUUGGUAUCUUCAUACCUAGUUCAAACUCGUCACCGGCAAGUCUCUUUACUCGUUCUAUAAUACAUCAUCUCGUAAUUAACCCGUUAGUCACUUUGCUUGCAAGCUCCUUCUUCUGGUGUAUUACGAAGAUGGCACAACGAUACCUCUUCUUCACACGGAGUGACAAAAUCCAGACUCGACAAAUGCAAACCCAACAGACACAUUUGGAGAUACAUGUAGAGCAUCUUAAUAGUCACCGAGUUAGGCUGUGACGUUUGUUAGCACACAAGAUAUUCCUCCGGUAUUCAGGAGUUGCAUGAUCUCAUGGUCAAAGAAACAUGUAUAUGACAUUAAGAAUGAAGUAGCAAUAAACUAAACAAUCUAACGCUAUGCUAAUGGGUGAGUCUUCAUCAUCAGAUCAUCCUCCUUAUCAUAUGAAUGACCUGACCUCGUUAUCAAAUGACAACUCAUGUCUAUUGUUAGUAAAACAUCAACCAUCUUUUAUCAACUAGCUAGUCAGUUAGAAGCUCACUAUGUACACGGGAUUUGGUUAUGUAUCCAAACAUGUGUUCAAGAUUUCGGUCAAUACGAUUCUAGCAUGAAUAAAAAACCUUUCAUCAUGAUUAAGGAAAUAUAAUAAUGACAAUUUUAUUACCGCCUCUAGGGAAUAUUUCCAGCUGUCUCCCACUUUCAAAUCUAAUUAAUAUAAUAAUAAGGAAUAUAAUAAGGAAAUAUUAAUGCCCGUAGUUCCCAUCAACAUAUGACCAAUACCCAAAAGAGUUUACUAGAGUAAAAAAUCUAAUUCACAUCGCCCACCUAAAUAUUUCUAAGGUGUGAUCAUAUUUUGCUUGUGAAAGAUAGUUUUAGUCAACGGGUCUGAGACAUCUAGUCCCAUUUGUACUUUGCAAGAAUCUAUGUUUACAAUGCUCUGGAUAAGGCUACUUUAGCUAAUUGCCCCUACAUUUAUUACGUUUCCAUACUAAGACCCAAAGUGAUAUUUAUUGGUGACAAAGCUGUCAUCGACUUAACCCUUUAAGACGAACUAUUUAUCACCUCCAUAGCAGAGAAACAUCUCGUUUUUUCUUUUAGCAUAAUUUGUUGAGCGAUCUCCAGUUAUCCACCCCUGGAGCACUCUUGUAUCCCCUUGCCAGACACGUGGCAAGGCACACUUCUGGUCUGGUACACAGCAUGUCAUGUUUUAUACUCCCUCUGUCCGGUAAUACUUGUCGGAGAAAUGCAUAAAAAUGAAUGUAUCUAGAACUAAAAUACAUCUAGAUACAUCCAUUCCUCCUACCAGUGUUUCCGGACGGAGGGAGUAGAACCUAUGGAUGUGGCAGAGGGAAUCACUUUCACUAUCUCUCUAUUUUUAUGUUGUGGUUGGUCUUUGCGUCUUACUCAAUUUCACACCUUAGAACUCAGGCAAGAACUACCGAGGUCUCAAGCAGCGUUCAUUUUGAGCUCGUUCAAAAUCAUGUCAAUAUAUGUGCUCUGUGAAAGAAUUAUCAGGCGUCUUGAUAUAUCCCAAUACAUAAGUAGAUCUACCGAGGUCUUUCAUUCAAAAAGGUCUGUUAGAACAACUCUUUAUGCUUUGCAGAAAAUUAUAAUUCAGUCCUGAUAAACAAGUAUGUCAUCCACAUAUACUUCAGGAAUUGCUGUAGUGAUACCACCCAAUUUUAACAUAGGUACAGACUUCACCAUAAGUAUGUAAUAGAACAAUAUGCUUUAUGUAUAGAACAAUAUGCUUUGAUCACCUCAUCAAAGCGUAUAUUAUAUCUCAGUGAUUCUUCCACAAGACCAACAAUGGAUCGCUGAACUUGCAGAAUUACGGUGAAUCAUAUACUUUACACGUGUUCACUUGUACCCUUCGAUGAUGGUAUACUACUUAUGCGCUUACAUAUGUGUGAGCGGAGCUACAGAUUGAUCGAGUAUGAGUCCAAGAUGAAGAGAGCAACUCCACAAUCCAAGAGGUAUGCUUGGAAGCGAAGAAUGAACUGUCAAGAAGAAGGCGAGGUUCAAGCAGCACCGAUGGUAGUCCGCAAGAAGCCACGGUACAAGCCCAUGCACAUGGCCGAAUUCGUCAGUGCGCUUGAUACCGCGACCACACAUGCUUAGGUUACCCGGUUCACAAGGGCUGCCUCUAUGGAGCUGUUUGGAUUUUCCCACGUAAUCCCAAUUCUCCACUCCUUAACCGUUAGUCCCAUGGAUGUAUAAAUAGUCCUCCCCAUUCAGCAAUAGCCAAUAAUAGAUCUAAACAUUUGAGCUUAGAUCAUGUAUCUCCCUUUAUGGGAUUCAUCUUGAGAAAGAGAAGACUCCAUUGGAGUACAAGACCUCCACUUGUGGAGAAGCAUUGCCCAAUUGAAUCAUCAAGACCUCAUCUCCUAUGGGAUUUGGGAAGAACUCUACCUUGUAUCUUUCCAUUUGAUUGUUCAUGUAUCUUGUGGAUCUUGUGUGUUUGUUAGUCUAGUGGAUGUUUGAUUGAACUUGUUAUUGAGUGUUUCUCUUGUGUUUUCAUCUCUUGUUCUUGAUGGAAAAAUGCCCUAGAGGGAAUAACAAAGUUGAUAUUAUUGUAAUUCCUUAAUCAUCAUAAGGGAUUAAUAUUAAUUCCAGGAUUGUAUUGACCAGAAAUUUGAAUAUAUGUGUGAAUACAUAAACAAAUACUGUGUCCCUAGCGGGCCUCUACAAGGUUAUCUUGUUUCAAACAUAAAUGAUGAUGUUUUUUGUUAGGUCCUUUCUGAAACAUAAAUAUUCAAGUGUCGUCCUAACCGAAGUUGAGAAGUUCUUAGUGGCUUACGCAUUAAGUGCGCCUCCCUCUUUGUAGAAAGUACUACAUAAUGGUAUGAAUGGCGGUAAAGUUCUUUCCGGUUGUCAUCACAAGUGCGCAACGUUCAUUGAGAACAUUUCAAUCCGAACUGACAAAGAGGUGAAUAAGCACUUCGUGUCAUAUUAUUAAGUGCACCACAUGCCUUGGCGGAGUACUAAUGAACUUGUGUAUGCUCGAGAAAUUUGUCUAUGUAUAACAUAUGAAGUGCAGAGCAUGCAUGAAUAACCUCUCCUACCCUAAGUGAAAAUUUCAUUUGCUAAACCCUAUAUAAAGUGCGGAAUAUGAAUAAGCACUGUGCGUCAUAUAAUUAAGUGCACCACAUGCAUUAGCGAAGUACUCAAGAAGUCGCGUACGUUCGUGAAAAGGUCUAUAUGUUUGACAUAUAAAGUGCGGAAGGUAGAUGUAUAAAGUAUCUCACUCAGGCGACGGAGUUCACAUGACCUCGAAGUACUCAAGAAGCUUUGUACGCUCAUGAAAAUUUCUAUAUGUUUGACAUAUAAAGUGCGGAAGGUAGAUGGAUAAAGUGUCUCUAUCAGGCUAUGGAGUUCACAUGACCUCAAAUGCGCCACAUGUAUUUGUAAAAGUUCCGUGGAAUAUUAUGGAAAACGGUGUUUUCAUUUCUGGUCGACCUCUAAGUGCGGAAGAAUUCAAAGAUAAUUUUUUAUUAAUUAAGCCCUACGUGUGCUCCAAGUUAAGUGCGCCUUUCUUUCUGGUAAAGUAUUGAGAUUCAUAUAAAUGACGUUUCAGACAUAAAUGGCGACACUCUUUGGUUAGUCCUUCCUGGUCGACAUAUAAGUGCGAAAUUAUGCAUGAAUAAGAUUUUCAUUAAGCCCCACAUGUUGUCUAACUUAAGUGCGGCAUUCCUUCUAUUAAAAUACUAAGAUUCAUAUGGACAUUGUUAAAUUCCUUUCUGUUUGGCAACUCGAGUGUGGAACGUGCGUGAAUGAUGUUUCAAACAUAAAUGAUGAGGUUCUUUGCUAAGACCUUCUUGAAACCUAAAGAUUCUAGUGUCGUCCUAACCGUAGUUGAGAAAUUUUUAGUGACUUAUACAUUAAGUGCGCCUCCCUCUUCGUGAAAAGUACUAAGAAAGGUAGGACGGGCGGUAAAGUUCUUUCCGGUUGGCAUCUCAAGUGCAGAACGUUCAUUGACAACGUUUCAAUCCAAAAUGACAAAAAAUUGAUUCAGCACUUCAUGUCAUGUAAUUAAGUGCACCGCAUGCCUUAGCGGAAUACUUAAGAAAAUGUGUAUCCUCGAAAAAGUUCUCCAUCUAUGACAUAUGAAGUGCGCAGCAUGCAUGAAUAACUUCUCCUACCCUAAGUGGAAAAUUCAUUCGCUAAGUCCUUUAUAAAGUGUUGAACGUGAAUAAGCAGUGCGUGUCAUAUAAUUAAGUGCAAUACAUGCAUCAGCGAAGUACUCAAUAAGUUGUGUACGCUCGAGAUAGUUCUAUAUGUUUGACAUAUAAAGUGCGGGAGGCAGAUGGAUAAAGUGUAUCUCUCAGGCGAUUGUAUCUCUCAGGCGAUUGAUUUCACACGCAUGAGUGUAAGUUCCUUGUAAUAUUAUGCAAUACGGUAUUUUCAUUUAUGAUGGAACUCUAAGUGCGGAAGAAUGCACGGAUAACUUUUCCACUAAGCAUUACGUGUGUUCCACAUUAAGUGCGUCAUUCCUUCUAGUAAAGUACCGAGAUUCAUAUAGAUGUUGUUAAAGUUCUUUCUGUUCAGCAAAUCAAUUGCGAAACAUGCGUGAAUGACGUUUCAAACAUAGAUGAUGAGGUCCUUUGAUACCGCCUUUCUGGUCGACCUCUAAGUGCGACAUAUGCACAAAUAAGUUUUACAUUAAGCCCUACUUGUCGUCUAACUUAUGUGCACCAUUCCUUCCAGUAAAGUCAUAAGAUUUGUAUGGACGUUGCUAAAGUUCUUUCUCUUCGGCAACUCGGGUGCGAAUGUGCGUAUUAUGUUUCAAACAUAAAUGAUGAUGUUCUUUGCUAAGUCUUUUUUUGAAACCAAAAAGUUCAAGUGUUGUCCUAACCAAAAUUGAGAAGUUAUUAGUGGUCUAUAAAUUAAGUGUGCCUCCCUCUUUGUGGAAAAAACUAAAACAUGGUAUGAAUGGCGGUAAAGUUCUUUCCGGUUGGCAUCAAAAGUGCACAAUGUUUAUUGACAAUGUUUCAAUCCGAACUAACAAAGAGGUGAAUAAGCACUUCGUGUUAUAUAAUUAAGUGCACCACAAGCCUUGGCGGAGUAGUCAACAACUUGUGUACGCUCGAAAAAGUUCUCUGUGCAUAACAUAUGAAGUGCAGAGCGUGCAUGAAUAACUUCUCCUACCCUAAGUGGAAAAUUCAUUUGCUAAGCCCUUUAUAAAGUGCGGAGUGUGAAUAAGCGAUGUGUGUCAUAUAAUUAAGUGCACCACAUGCAUUAGCGAAGUACUCAAGAAGUCGCGUACGUUCAUGAAAACUUCUAUAUGUUUGACAUAUAAAGUGCGGAAGGUAGAUGUAUAAAGUGUCUCUUUCAGGCGAUGGAGUUCACAUGACCUCGAAAUACUCAAGAAGUUUCGUACGGUCGCGAAAAUUUCUAUAUUUUUGACAUAUAAAGUGCGGAAGGUAGAUGUAUAAAGUGUCUCUCUCAGGCGAUGGAGUUCACAUGACCUCAAAUGCGCCACACGCAGUUGUAAAAGUUCCUUGGAAUAUUAUGCAGUACGGUGUUUUCAUUUCUGGUCGACCUCUAAGUGCGGAAGAAUGCACAUAUAACUUUUCAAUUAACUAAGUCCAAUGUGUGCUCCAAAUUAAGUGCGUCAUUUUUUCUGGUAAAAUACUAAGAUUCAUAUGAAUGAUGUUUCAAUUAUAAAUGGUGAGGUUCUUUGGAUAGUCCUUCCUGGUCGACGUAUAAGUGCGAAAUUAUGUACGAAUAGGUUUUACAUUAAGCCCUACAUGUCGUCUAAUUUAAGUGCGACAUUCCUUCUAUUAAAGUACUAAGAUUCAUAUGGACAUUAUUAAAUUCCUUUCUGUUUGGCAACUCGGGUGUGGAACGUGCGUGAAUGAUGUUUCAAACAUAAAUGAUGAUGUUCUUUGCUAAGUCAUUUUUGAAACCUAAAGAUUGUAGUGUCGUCCUAACCGUAGUUGAGAAGUUCUUAGUGACUUAAACAUUAAGUGCGUCUCCCCUCUUUGAAAGUUAUUAAAACCAUCGUAGGAAGGGCAGUAAAGUUUUUUCUGAUUGGCAUCUCAAGUGCAGAACGUUCAUUGACAAUGUUUCAAUCCUAAAUGACAAAAAAUUGAUUCAACACCUUAUGUCAUAUAAUUAAGUGCACCACAUGUCUUAGCGUAGUACUCAAGAAAAUGUGUACGCUCGAAAAACUUCUCUAUGUAUGACAUAUAAAGUGGGCAACGUGCAUGAAUAACUUCUCCUACCAUAAGUGGAAAAUUCAUUCACUAAGCCCUUUAUAAAGUACGGAACGUGAGUAAGCAGUGUGUGUCAUACAAAUAAGUGCACCACAUGCAUCAGCGAAGUACUCAAUAAGUUGUGUACGCUCGAGAAAGUUCUUUAUGUUUGACAUAUAAAGUGCGGAAGGCAGAUGGAUAAAGUGUAUCUCUCAGGCCAUGGAUUUCACAUGACCUCAAAUGCGCCAUACACAUUAGUGAAGGUUCCUUAUAAUAUUAUGAAUUACGGUAUUUUCAUUUCGGGUGCAAACGUGCAUGAAUUAUGUUUCAAACAUAAAUAUGAGGUUCUUUGCUAAGUCUUUUUUUGAAACCUAAAAGUUCAAGUGUCGUCCUAACCAAAGUUGAUAAGUUAUUAGCGGUCUAUACAUUAAGUGUGCCUCCCUCUUCGUGGAAAGUACUAAAACAUGGUAUGAAUGGUGGUAAAGUUCUUUUCGGUUGGCAUCAAAAGUGCACAAUGUUUAUUGACAAUGUUUCAAUCCGAACUAACAAAGAGGUGAAUAAGCACUUCGUGUCAUAUAAUUAAGUGCACCACAUGCCUUGGCGGAGUAGUCAAGAACUUGUGUACGCUCGAAAAAGUUCUCUGUGUACAACAUAUGAAGUGCAGAGCGUGCAUCAAUAACUUCUCCUACCCUAAGUGCAAAAUUCAUUUGCUAAGCCCUUUAUAAAGUGCGAAAAGUGAAUAAGCGAUGUGUGUCAUAUAAUUAAGUGCACCACAUGCAUUAACGAAGUACUCAAGAAGUCGCGUACGUUCGUGAAAAUUUUUAUAUGUUUGGCAUAUAAAGUGCGGAAUGUAGAUGUAUAAAGUGUCUCUUUCAGGCGAUGGAGUUCACAUGACCUCGAAGUACUCAAGAAGUUUCGUACGCUCGUGAAAAUUUCUAUAUUUUUGACAUAUAAAGUGCGGAAGGUAGAUGUAUAAAGUGUCUCUCUCAGGCGAUGGAGUUCACAUGACCUCAAAUGCGCCACACGCAUUUGUAAAAGUUCCUUGGAAUAUUAUGGUGCACCACAUGCAUUAGCAAAGUACGCAAGAAGUUAUGUACGCUCGGGAUAGUUCUAUAGGUUUGACAUAUAAAGUGUGAAAGCUAGAUGGAUAAAGUUUCUCUAUCAGGCGAUGGAUUUUGCAUGACGUCAAAUGCGCAACACGCAAUUGUAAAAGUUCCUUGGAAUAUUAUGGAAUACGGUAUUUUCAGUUCUGGUCGACCUCUAAGUGCGCAAGAAUGCACAGACAACUUAUUAAGCCCUACGUGUGCUCCAAAUUAAGUGCGUCAUUCUUUAUAGUAAAGUACUGAGAUUCGUAUGGAUGUUGUUAAAGUUAUUUCUGUUUUGCAACUCGAGUGCAACAUAAAUGAUGAGGUUCUUUGGUAAGUCCUCCCUGGUCGACCUCUAAGUGCAAAGUCAUGCACUAAUAAGUUUAGAUUAAGCACUACGUGUUGUCUAACUUAAGUACGUCAUUCCUCCUAGUAAAUAACUAAGAUUCAUAUGGACGUUGUUAAAGUUUUGUAUGUUCGGCAACUCGGGCGCGGAACGUCCGUGAAUGAUGUUUCAAACAUAAAUAUUGAGGUUCUUUUCUAAGUCCUUUUUGAAACCUAAAAAUUCUAUUGUCGUCCCAACCGACGUUGAGAAGUUCUUAGUGAAUUAUACAUUAGGUGUGCCUCCCUCUUCGUGAACAGUACUACAAAAAAUGGUAUGAAGGGCAGUAAAGUUCUUUCGGGUUGGCAUCUCAAGUGCACAACGUUCAUUGACAAUGUUUCAAUCCGAAAUGACAAAAAGGUGAAUAAGCACUUCGUGUCAUUUAAUUAAGUGCACCACAUGCAUUAGCGUAGUACUCAAGAUCAUGUGUACGCACGAAAAAGUUCUCUAUGUAUGACAUAUGAAGUGUGUAGCGGCCAUGAAUAACUUCUCCUACCCUAAGUGAAAAUUUUCAUUUGCUAAGCCGUAUAUAAAAUGCGAAACGUGAAUAAGCACUGCGUGUCAUAUAAUUAAGUGCACCACAUGCAUUAGCGAAGUACUCAAGAAAAUUCUAUACAUUUGACAUAUAAAGUGCAGAAGGUAGAUGGAUAAAGUGCCUCUAUCAGGAGAUUGAUUUCGCAUGACCUUAAAUGCGCCACAUGCAUUUGUAAAAGUUCCUUUGAAUAUUAUGGAACAUGAUAUUUUCGCUUCAGGUCGACCUCUAAGUGCAGAAAAAUUCACGGAUAACGAGUCCAUUAAGCUCUAUGUGUGCUCCAAAUUAAGUGCGCCAACAUAGUAGUAGUAUAGCUUGUUGGAGUAAAACAUGUACUUUUGAUUUUAUUUAUCAAAAAUCCUAGUUCAUCGCAUGGUUUUGUUAUCAUAACUCUGUUUCAUCAAGUUUUAUUCUGAAAGUGAUAUGAGAUUUUAGCCAAGCUGUUUUUAAAUUUUUGAGCAGGCAUGUAAUUCAGGCAAUAGAUGAGCUCCCAGCCUCCUUAGACUGGCAUGGGCACAUCAAUAAGGGCAUGGAGCCCAUCAAAGAGGAGGUCGGAGCGGCGUUGGACCUGGAUCAACUCAUCUAAAUCAAGCGGCCAGCUACGGCUGGGAGUCCCCAACGCUCCACCUGGACGGCGUCGGCUGGGAGCUGCAACAGCUCCACAUGCAAUGGCUGGCCAGGGACCAGACCUCGACAGGAACGUGUUGCCCUUUGAGCCGGUGCAGAGCGACAAGUUCAUAGCAUCGUUAUAGUUUUUUGCACAAAGAUAGACCCUGUAGUACUACUGAUCAGGUGAAACACAUCGACGUGGCACUGGUACUGAACUGAAGCAACGAUUUGUUCAACAAAAUAUGAUCCAAAUAGAAAAUGAGUGGGCAUAUUAGUUUCUAUAACAAGGAAUCGUCGCCGGUUUUGUGCCAUUCAUGUGUUUUUUCCUAUAUAUAGGAUUGCUCUUUCGUUUUGGUUUGUCAAGAUUUGAAAUGGUUGUGGUGGUUAAUAUCUCUGUAGGUGUUCUUUGACCUCGAGAAUGGCAACCAGGAGCUCAAGAGCGACGUCAAGGACCUCUACAUCAACCUCGGGCAAGUAAAGACAUGUUUGAAGUGGAAAUGUAUCCAUUACAGUUAGUUGUUGUUGUCAACGAUUUUUUUGGAGAAGAACUAAUAGUAUGAUAGUGAAGUAAUCUAAUUCAAUUUCCUUUUUCAUUGCAACCACUUAAUUUCAAUCGGGUCAAAAUAAAAAAUCAAAGACAAAAUUUUUCAGCCAUAAGUAGAACACCGGAGCUAAUUGAUACACCAUUUUGAAAAUUGAUACACUGUUGCAGGGAGAGCAGCACACGCAGCGGUGGUCAAGGGCUUAGUACCUGUUGACCUCGUCCGUGGUCGCUGUUGGUCGGUGAAGGAGGCAUGCAUGAGGUGGUGCAAGGGCAUGCUGGUGACGGAGUCGCGCAUCAUGAGGCCGGGUGAGUAACGCUCGGGAACUGCCGGGCGCUCAGACUGACGCGGGAUUGGGUUGGCGCGGUGACUCAAGGAGGAGGAUGUAGUUAUGGGGGAGGGAGUGACGACGGAGGGGCUUCGAUGGCCCAACGAGACCCUACAUCAUAAUCAAGGAGGACCCUACAUCUAAAGAAAAUAGAGCAGUCUAUAUCAUUAGUCUAUUACUGGAUUUCUAGAAGAAGGAAAAAGGGAGAAAUGGUUGUUUCUGCUACUCUACAUUUGCUUUAAAAUUGGUGUACAUAUAUCAAGAAGAAGUUGGUUGCAAAAGUGAUCAAACAUAACAUUCAACACAAACACAUUGGUUUUGUAAUUAAAUGCCUAAGAUCUUAUAAUUUUGAAUUAAAUUGUUUGAUUAUACAAUCAGUUCAUAUUAUUUGGUGUAGCAUGCUGUUUAACAUUUUAGAGUUCCAUCCUUUUUAGUAACGAAAUAAUGAUGAACUCAUAUUAGUGGAUCCAUAAAAGUGUAUGCUAUUAGUUUGACGAGGUUAUAUAGCAAGGCAAUUCUUAUUUGACGAGAAUAAUGAAAAACCAAGAAGCAAAAGAAGAUAAAUUUGGAAAGAAGAGAUAAUUUUUCGCUCGAGGGUGGGGCUGUAAGGAAUCCGUGGCACGAGUAAACAAAAGCAUCUUGGUCGCCAUAUAGAAAAACAUCUUGGUUGCCUCCUCUCUAUCUCGCCCAUCUUGUUGCCAGGCAUGGAAGAGAGGAGGGAGAGCCGAGGAGCAUGGUGGCCUCUGGCUGUUGCCUGGGAAAAGGUAAAGGCCGUGGCACGACUGUCCGUCGCAAUGCCGCUGCUCCUUGCGUGCUUGUUUCCCUCCUUACACCCCCACGUCCAACUCGAUCUUUAGCUGCCGCAACGUCGUAGAUGACCAAGUCUAGCGCCCACGCCCGCCGCCAUCUUGUGAAUGGCCAACUGAUAGCCGAUGAUGGGGAAGGUUUUGAUAGUAUGAUAGUAUGAUGUGUGUUAGCUGAUUGUCAAGAAAAAGAUGUGAGUUAGUUGAGACCGCUUUAUUCUUGGUUAUUUUAGCUCCGUGAGUAGCAUCUUAAAUUUUUCCAAAAUCCCGUGGCAACGCACGGGCGUUUUACUAGUAUUAUUAGUUGCUCAAAUGAAUAUGUCUAGCACUAAAAUACAUCUAAUAUAUCUGUUUGAGCAACACAUAAUAUGAAUGGGAGGGAUUAGGUGUAAAUUGGAAGUGGCGGCCCCGGCAAGGCCUCGCUACUCGCUAAGACUACGUCCGAAACGGGGAUGACAUGGCUUGCAGCCGUGUAGCCAGUAGAGAAAGAGAAGAAACUUGAUCGACGCGAGUGGAUGGCCUUUUAGCUCCGGCUCCCACUCGGAUUAGAUAGCUACCUCGCUGGAGGUGGAAUGGAAAUAUUAUGCGGUACACAAUAUGUCAAGGCUGAGAUUUGACCCUUCGGCAAUGGAGAGAUACACUCUGGGCCCACUCAAUAUUACGGUAUCCAACAUCGUGUGGCAGGUAUAGUGACUAAGGUGUUAGUCGCGAGGAUACCGGGAUAGAGAGAUACACUAAGGAGUUUUAGAAUCAAAAUCAGGAUGUCGUAUCCCUUGUUUGUAGGAGGGUUUCUGACGAAAGGAACAAUGCUCUACUAGCCCCUUAUUUUGCCAAGGAUGUUCGUAUGGCUCUAUUUGAUAUUGGUGCUUUAAAGGUUUUGGAACUUGAUGGGCUUUAUGUAAUUUGCAAUCUGAAUUGCGACCUAUUCUCUUUCAAUGCUAUGAUUUUUUUUCCAUAAAAAAAUACUAUGAAAUUCCAUUCCCAUUAGAAUAUUCAUUGACAUGUAAAAAAGAGGAAAGCUCUAAUAUGAUAGAAAAUAAUAAUCUAUUUUAACCCAUUUGCGAGAAAGCGUGAACUAAGAGACUUGAAAUUUUGACUUGAACAAUAAGAAUUUACGAUUUGUAUAGUCGGAUUGAAAUUAGCAAGUAAAUUGGUUGUCUUAUUUUUAAUAUAAAGUAUUGCAAUAUCUAUGAAUUACAAAAUUCAUUUAAGUGAAAAAAAGUGCAUUACAGGCGUAUGAUCAUUACCCAUCAAGCAGGUUAUUCGAUUCCACCUCUAUACAUAUAAAAAAACUAAAAGAGAAUACAUAAUAAUACAGUGAAACAUUUAUAGAACACCUAUACCAAGCACACGCAAGGGAAACAUAGACGGGCAAGUGAAAUCCAAUCCACGAAAUAAUUUAAUCCAUCGAAGAUCAGUGUAUCGAUUGCUCCUAAAGAUGGGAAUGCGAAAGAAGAUGUCGAUGGAUUCUAUAGCGUGAGCAUGCGGUGCACCCCCGAGGGUCUGCUAGACCGGUUGAUGCUCCCGGCUAGUUGGCGGGCGGCUUGGUGAGGUCAUCGGAUUUCUUGGUGUGUGUGGCGAGGUUGUAAUUCCAGAGGAGUCAUUAUUACAAGGCAUAAAGAGGGAGGUCAUAAGCGCCUAUACCUUAAAAUAGUUUUUUGAUGGAUUCAGAAGACAUAUCUUGUAGAAAGUGUGUGCAUGACCAUGAGUCAUUGUGUUAUAUCUCAUCUACACCUAGUGUGAACAUUGUUUAAUAGAUUGUAGCAGCAGUAGUAGCAAUUCAUGUUGUUUCCGAUCAUAGAACAGAACGGAAGAACUUGUAUUUUGCACAAUCAUUUAGUUUCAGCUGUGUUUGUUCCAUGAUCUUAAUCAGAUUUCCAAACAUAAUAAUGAAACAUCUGUCACAUAACACGUUGUCACACUGACAAGCAGUCUGUUUAAAAAGAUAUGGAAUUCGAGGAUCAUCAUUACAUUUCCAAUACACAUCAGGACAUUGAGUUUAUGUCCGAAGUGCUUUGAUUUGUUAAGCUGCUCAUCUAAACCACGAUUCAAAUGUUCUGUUGCAUUGUGUCCUGAUGUGUCCAAGUACGCCACACUUCCCGCACUUUGGUUCUUUCCUCUGCUUCUUGUUUGAUCCGUCAUUUGUUGGGCACUUCCCAGAGUUGUGUCCCUUUCCCCUGCAAGUUUUACAAAACUUGGUUCUUGGAUUGCUCACUUCAUAGCCUGGCCUAGAUCUUGCGUUGGUAGGUCGCCCACGAUCUCUCUUGCGAGAUUCUAUCCUCAUUGAUGAUUUGAGAUUAAUGUCGCCUGCAUCAACCCCGUUGAUAUCAAUGUUUUCUUUACCUAGUAUAUCCUCUAGUCCUUUGCCAUCUUUCUCAGUUGCUUUUUCUUUGAGAUCAUCCCUUGCAUCUGACAGCCUUACCAUUGCAAGGUCGAAGGCCUCAGGGUUGCUGUCACCCAUCCUUACAAUAUCAAGAGCUGUUGUGUAAAGUGUUGUAUGCCUGAAGGUAGUUGAUUCCAGGAUAGGGCUGUGUCCCUUAUAUAUUUUCAAGUGCUCAGGUAAAUCUUCACAUGCGUUUUUAGUCCACCUCCUCAUGAUGUGCUCUUCUGGUAUCUUCGUGAAUUUCAAGUGUGCCAUUACCUGAAACAUUAGUUAGCACGUUUUAAACAGAUUCAAUAAUGAUCUUCAAAUUCUAACAUAACCUUUUAAGGAAAACAUUUUACCCGGAUCGCAUGGCAGCAGAGCAAACCCAUAUGCUCAUACAUUCCACACUCGCAUUUGAAGAUAUUCUCAGGUUGAUGCACUUUGACAUUGUAAGAUGUUUUUGACCAGCUCUCUCUCCGCUCUGCAAAAAGGUGUGUGACACAAUAUGUAUCGUUUAUGACCAGAGUGUUCUCGACGUAGUAGGAUGCAGAUUUGAAGCAUGCUUCUUGGAACUGUUUGAACAGCGCAGGUGUGUAAACCUUCGCAGCAUGCCUCUCCAUAGGCAAACCGGUCUUGAGCACUGUGCUCACCUAUAUUAAGAACAACGAAAAUUAUAGUCAGAAUUGUUUGUCCCAACAGUUAGAAAAAGUAAGCUAAUAACUUAGUAUUUAGUACAGUUAAGGCCAUUAAACACACCAAGUGGCUUUUCUUCUCAGCAAAAUUUUCUUCUGAAUCACGGUCAAACUGAAGUUUCUGGUAGUUCCUAACAAACAUGUGCAUUGAGGCACCAGCAGGUACAAAAUUCUUCAACAUGUGGUUAGCGCUCUCUGACCGUUGGGUGCUUGUCAUCCUCGCGCAGAAUACACCUGCAAAAUAUGGCUUUGCCCAUUUCUGUCGGAGCUCGUAUAUCUGUGUCAACAUUGGGUGUUCCUGAAGACCAUACUUUUGAAUCAACUUUGCCCAAGCUGCUUUGAACUCUUCUACAGUGAGCAUAUAUUCCAAUAUCUUGUGUAGUUCAUCCCUGAAAUCUUUGUUCUGUGUGUAUACAGAGCCAAGGGAUUCCUUUGCACGACGCAGCACAUGCCAUUUGCACCACCGGUGCUUCGUUCCAGGCAAUACUUCAGCAAUAGCCAACUCCAUGGCACGGCAUUGGUCUGAUAGGAAUUUUAUGGUCAGUACGUGAUAAUGAAGGUACAAGAUAAAUUACAUGUUUUGAAAUGCAUUAGGAGGCUCCAAUUAUUUACCUGUUAGGAUAGUUACCGGUGCUUUACCUCCCAUUAAUGACACAAAUUCCUUGAAUACCCACUCGAAUGAUUCUUGCUUCUCGUUCCUCAUCAUAACGCCUCCUAAUAUUAUGCUCUGGAAAUGAUGGUUGACCCCAACAAAUAGUCCGAAUGGCAUAUCGUACUGGUUUGUACGAUAUGUUGUGUCGAAUGUGAUUGCAUCGCCAAACAUUUUGUAUUGGUAUCUACUCCUUCCAUUUGUCCACAUAAGAGCCUGAAUCUUGCUGUCGCCGUCGACAAGAACACUGUCAGCAAACAUUGGGUCAUUCUUCUUAAGUUCAGAGAAGAGUUGAACUGUUUUCCUUAUGUCAUCAUCUGCAGUUUCUUGGUUCAUCCUCUUGCACAUGUACUUGAGAGCUCUCUUGUUGAAUGGUACACUCUCCAUUGAUCCAAAGAAGCUUGCCAUGACACAAAAAACCUUGGUUAUCCCAAUGUUGUUGCUCCUCAAGUGCUUGACAAUAUCUUUUGUGUGUGUGUCAAUGUUCCUGUGUGAUGGCCAAUGUAGUUUCUCGCCACACGAUGAGGACAAAUGGUGGUUGUGUUCAGAUCUAAAAUCAUGUAUAUACCAUCCAUUGUCGGCUGUGCGGUGUAGCCUGAUCAAGGCUUGGCAGUUGCAGGCUACUGACUUUGUGUUUUCUUUCUUUGGCCUUCCCUGAAAUUAUAACGGUAGCGCAACAUUAGUAUUUUUAGUGGCUAAGAAGCAUGUCAUCCAAAGAAUCACUUGAUGCUGUCUAUACUCACCGCACAGCCGCAAACGAUGUCCUGAACGGUUCUGCUCUUCUUUGCAUUUGUCCUAGAUUGACCAUAUCUGAUGCCAAACCCAAUCUCCCAAGAAUAAAGAUUAUAAAAUUCAAAUGCCUCCGCAAGUGAGUCGAACUCUCUUCCAAUCUCAGGGGCGACAACUUGUCCAGACUUCCUUUGAACAAAUUCACGCAUUGCUUUUUCGAGCGCACAGACCCUUCCCUAUUUAGGCUGCCGCUGAUCUGGUAUUUUCCCACGACGUAUCCUGACAGAAAUGAAAGUAAACUUCUCAGGGAAAGACUGAGUUAUGUGGCGAAUCUUAUCUGCAUUUUCAUGAAAGACUAAGUUUCAAUAUGAUUUUUGCAGAGCUAUUUGGAGUCCUAGAUGACCAUAAAAAGCUGUCACAACCCAUAAUUCCUCGCAUGUAAAACUAACCAUACUGCACAUACAGCAGUUACCAGUUCAUGGAGUUCUGAACUUUAUGGCUGCUCAAUGUUAUAUGAUUAACGAGAUAUGCACACAAGCUACAAAUGGUUCAGACCAAAAAGUUCAGUAUGUAACCCAGAUUAGAAUCCAAAGUCCAAAAAACAGAUUCAGUCCCAGCUUCCUCUACUGCAAUGUAAAUAUUGCAGUGAUUGGAGUUGCAUAUAGACACAGUUUCUUUCACUGAAAAAACCACCAUGUUGACUGUAAUCGCUGAUAAGUUAGUGCAGUAUGCAACUCCUUGUAAUCGGUAACCACAAAGCAUUCAACAGGAUGCAAAGGAAAAGAACAUGGAGACCUAAGCGGCAGAUGUGGUUACCUUCUCUUCCAUGGACAUUGGUCAGGACGAGAUUGGUCUGACUGAACCAGGUUUGGCUUGUUGGUUUGCUCUGACAGCGGCGACUCCAAGCAUUCAUCUCCUGACCAAGUGUAUCCAUCGAGCUCUGGCGUUGGCGAGCGGAGCUUGGCAUCGUCGUUCUCACAAUUCACCUCGCCGUCGGCCUCAUAGAUGGGGGAAGUUGGAUCUGGUAUGGUGGGAGAGGACUGAAAUUGAUCCUCGGUGUCGAUGCCGCCCCCGCAAUGGUUUCCGCCCUCCGUCCAAUCUGUCUCUCCCACAUACUCUUGUUCUUCUUGCUGGGUCCAACAGAGAUUUGGAUCUUGGGAAGGGAUGGAGGAGAAGCUGUCCGCCGGAGGGCAUGUGAGAUGAAUCGUUGAGGAACAAAGAUUUGAAUGGAUUGCCAAUGGGUUUGAGCAUACCUUAGAAGUAGUUGGGUGAACGAUCCAGGCGCGAGGACCAUCCGUGGCGGCGGCGUAUCCAUCGCCGGACGGGAGAUCUUUUGCGGAAUUCUCUCCGAAAUCUCGGAGCUCUAGUCAGGAACUGGGAGCUGUUCAAAUUUUGAAUGGUUUGCUCCUCCCAUAGGUUGGGGUCGUUUCCACAGCACAGGUAUGGGCCGCCGCUCGUAUCUGAAUACGUAUGGUAGGAAUGGUCUCUGUAUUCCUGGCGUAUUGGUUUAGGAAAAGAUGCGAGGUGGGGUCGGAGGGAAUUGCCACAUGGGCUGCGGGUCCGGCUGGUGUGGAUCCACACGCGCUCGCGAGCGGUUGGGAUAGCCGCUGUGAACGGAACGCGAAAGUAAAAGGCUUUAUCGGGUAUGUAUCUGGUGUUGAUGAAGGCGGCGUAUAUUUCAGUGAUCUCUGACACCUUGCGCACUCGACGGCUGCGACGGAUUACGCAGCUUGGUUCCUUAGGAGUGAGUCCAUGCAGCUAGCAUUGUGCUGCAAAUGCGGAGCCAAUACCGGAUUUCAGGGACGUCGUCCGCGUCGGCGUCGGCGUCAGCCACGCUGGCAGGCCGGAUGGCGGGGUGCAUAUCGGAUAGCUGAAAAAUCCACCAGCCAAUAAAAUAAGUAAGUGGCUCGCUAGUAAUUCCGGAACAUUAAUGGAGAUAAAAGGAGACAAUCUAGCAUGAAGAUUAUACAUGAAACGACGGAAAUCACAAACAAAGAAAGAAUCUCACGGGAUGCAUGGAUGGAAAUUGCAGGGCCAUACGGAAUACCUUAUUUGUUGUUGAUAAUUGCCCCAGAUCCCAUUAUUUCGGUGCAGAUGUGAUUUGGAGAGAGAGAGAUCUUUGGAUGGCAUCGAUCCAGGAAAGGCUGCGCCAUAAAAAUCGGGACAUCCGGCCAACAACUAAUCGGGUUCAAGAUUAAUUACGUUUUACUGUGCCCGAUCCGUUUAGGAAUGCACGAAUCUCAAAGAAUCUAACGGCAAUAGAGAUGUAGGUAACUACCACCUAGUGGUAGGAUGUAUUUUUCCUAUGUGUGUGUGUGUGUGUGUGUGUGUGUAUAAGAUGCACGCACAUAUGCAUUGCUUGAGUAUGUAUGCAUACUCUCUGUAAAUGUAUGUAUGCAUUACAAAAUUAAGAAAGUGAUAACAGAGCAUCUGAGUUUCCAUAUGGAACAGGGAGGGGUGGUUGUGGUUGUAACAGCAAAGUGUUUUAGCUCACUCCAGCCUUGAUCCGGCAAGAGCAUCUGAGCUUCCAUAUAUAUGAUCAUAUCUUCAAAAGGAAAAACUUCUUCCUGAAUCAAGCUAGCUCAUAUCCGGAGAGAAAAUCUUCUCCGAGAAAGAAUGUCAUGUGCAUCAGGAGAAGCUUCUUGCAGAGUCAUGCCGUGUGCAGCAGAAGAAGCUUCUUCGUCGGUAUAAAGAGAGGGGCAGCCCAUCGACUGUCACAACUCACAAGCAAGAGGAAGAACUAGAACCAAUGGAGAGGAAGAACAGGAGAGUGAAGGCUGCGGCCGUCUGCGUGCUCCUCGCCGUCCUGCUGUCGGCGCAGCAGCUGCUGGUGGCCGGCGCCGCGCCGGNNNNNNNNNNNNNNNNNNNNNNNNNNNNNNNNNNNNNNNNNNNNNNNNNNNNNNNNNNNNNNNNNNNNNNNNNNNNNNNNNNNNNNNNNNNNNNNNNNNNNNNNNNNNNNNNNNNNNNNNNNNNNNNNNNNNNNNNNNNNNNNNNNNNNNNNNNNNNNNNNNNNNNNNNNNNNNNNNNNNNNNNNNNNNNNNNNNNNNNNNNNNNNNNNNNNNNNNNNNNNNNNNNNNNNNNNNNNNNNNNNNNNNNNNNNNNNNNNNNNNNNNNNNNNNNNNNNNNNNNNNNNNNNNNNNNNNNNNNNNNNNNNNNNNNNNNNNNNNNNNNNNNNNNNNNNNNNNNNNNNNNNNNNNNNNNNNNNCUACAAGCCGCUCUGCGUCGUGGUGUGCGCCCUGGGCGGCCAGAUGGGUGGCGGCUGCCCGGGUGUCUGCGGGGAGGCCUCGGACAAUGUCUUGUAUGGUGGAAUAAACAAAUAAAUUGAUAUGGAAAAUCAUACUCCCUCCUUUCCAGUUUAUAGGGCUUAUCUCAAAUUUUUAGUUUUUUCAUUUUAUAAGGCUCAAUUUGAUUGUUCCCCAUCACAUGUUCAGACUUCAAGGUGCAUUAAAUUAUUGCAUGCAAGUAUUAAGAGAAAACUGACCAAUGCAUGCAUGCAUUGCAAUUAAUGCAUUCAUAAACGUAAUGUUUUGAGGAAAACAAAAGCAUUAAUUGGGUGCUUUUGCAAACUACAAAAAAUAUUCCACCACUCAUCAUCUAUCUUGGUUGGUGAGAUUUUUGAAUUGAGCCUUAUAAACCGGAAAGGAGGGAGUAUAUGAGAAUUUGGUUGGGUUGUCACUCGAUCGGUUUAGUGGAAUGUUACUAUGUUCUUUGUGAAAUGUUGUAGUACUACACUGAAGAGAGCUUAGUUUGAGAUGUUGUCAUACUCCCUCCGGUCCUUUUUACUUUGCAUAUAAGAAUUGUCUGAAGUUAAACUUUAUAAAGUUUGACCAUAUUUAUAUGAAAAUAUAUUAACAUCUACAAUGCUAAAUUUAUACAACAUGAAAACUAAAGUCAUGACGUAUCUAAUAUUGUUGAUCUCACAUUCUAAAUAUUAAAUUUUUUUUCUAUAAACUUGGUCAAAGUUUACGAGGCUUGACUUCAACCGGAGGGAGUAUGUGAGAGUUGUCACAGGUUUGUGAAACCAGCAAAAAAGAAAAAGAUGACCAGGUUCAGGUUUGCUCAAUUUCACCUGAUGAUUCAGGUGUAGAUGUGUGACGACCCAAGUUGUCACAGAGCGUUUUCAUCAUCACAUGGUCAUUUUAAGUUGGGGUGAGAGAGGCUCGAACUCUCGACCUCAGGAUCACUCAAGUCUUAGCUAUGAGACCUACGCGCUAGCCAACUGCGCCACCACCCCUUUGUUGUUUUCUUAGCCAAACAUCCUUGUAUGUUAAUAUCUUUGUUCAGACAAAGCAAAGGACGAUUAACCAGGCGACACAGGUCUGUGCAUACGCUGCACAAAUCGGCUGGUUCUUCCAUCGUUAAAUCCAGAGUUGAAGAAAUGGAGAAAGGAACUGCAGAAAUGCCAUCUUAAAGGGCCAGAGCUAUCAAAAUAUCGGACCUUUUUUGACACUGUCAUAGUGUAAAAAAAACUCUUGUAUUUUGAUAGAGGGAGUACUCGUGUAAAAUUAGCACAUUAUAGUCACGAAUCAGAUGUAAAAUCGACAUGGCAUUGAAAUGUCCACAGCUCAUACAAUGUGCUAACUCAAGAUAACCUGAGCAUUGGGUCACUCAUGCCACCGCAUCGAUCACAGCAGAUCCUACCACCAAGCGGAAAUAAUCCAAGUCGCGACUUAAUAUCUUAAUAAUCAAUUCGGUACAGCACUGAGCGACUGCGGCUCGUCUUUGCGCUGAUACAGAUAGAACUAACUGUGCGCUUACGUGCGCAGCAGCUAUGUCCGGGCCGAAUCUUCCGUAAACAAGAACAGAAAUUGGCACUAGUAAACUAGUAGGUAGAUCAGGUAGGCAACAUAACUACAGGUUUCCAUACAGAACCAAUGGUGUGCUUACAAAAUAUCAUCAACGGGCGACUGCAGCAGAACCCUUCACGUCGAACGGAGAUCCCAACGGCGCGAUCAGGCCCAGGCUCUGCAUGAUCUUGAUCUGGCGCACGCUACGCUGCUCCGAUCCCCCCGCGCCCCUGCUCUGGUGGAGUUUGGUCAAAUCAGUGUCCGAAAUUCAUUCAGACAAUCGAUUCAGAAGAAUGGAGUGUCUACUUACAGGAGAAGAGUUGGGGUCCUUGGUCUCCGGCUUUGCCGCCUUGCCCUUUCUAGGUUUCUUCUUCGCAGCACGGCUUGAGUCAGCCUCCAGCCCACUAGCGGCCCGCUUGGUGCUUAGUCCACCCUCUGUCUCAGUAGUAGUAGCAGCAGUCGCCUUUGCCUCGGUAGCUUCACAGAUUCCAAAGAUCACUUCAUCCACAUAUGCCAUUUCAGCAGCAAGCUGCCUGUCUAUGACGUCCCCCAGCAGUAUAUCCCUGACCAUAGCUUUUAUCUUCCGGUGGGUUCCUUCGACCGUCAAACCAGUUUUGUGCUGGCUUCGAUUCACGGAUGUCAUGUCUCCUGCUUCAGCUGCAUUUUCACUUGCGCUUGAAACAUGGAGCUGUGAUGUGCUGUCCUCCGCCGCAUCUGAAUGUUCCUUCAGAUUGGUACGGCCCGACCGCUUUGAGGAUCCUUCCUUUUUGGCCACCGAUGUUCCUGAUGAUGCCUUCUUACCACUCUUUUUAUCUCGCACAGCAGAAGCUUGCUUGGGUGUCUUAUCUCUUAAACCUUCAGCAGAAUCUAUACUCAAAGCUUUGUCAAGAGCACUUGCUUGCCUCACACCUUUCUGCUUUUUUCCUUUCUGAGCAGCACCUCCACCUUCUGCAUUGCUCCGAACUUCUUGGUCCUGCUCUAAGGCUUCUUGCUUUCUGACUUUCUUAGUAGACGUCUUGGCUGUGGCCAAUAUGGUCAGACCAUAUGAAAAAUAGAGAAUUAGAUGCGUAGCAAUUAAAAAUAUAUAUGUGUGUACCAUUGAUAGCAAGGCGACUUGAAACUUGACAGGGAAAUAAAACCGCACAGGUGAUAAUUUAGCAAUACUGUCACUGAUACUGCUCCUAGAACAUGUUACCUAAUCACACCAUUGUGAAAAGAUUCACAAACGGUAACAUAUCACUGUUAACAUAAAUCACUAAUGAAAAAGGGAUAACAUGAAUGGUCAAACCACAAGGACCACCAUGAUCAAUGCACAUAACGUGUUUUUCUGCAUAUAUUCUCCAGCCAAGAAAAAACAGAAAUUCACCUUUUGUGUUGACAGCUUCCUCCUCGUCAUCACUGGCCGACUUAAAAUGAGAGAGCUCCUGCAUUUGUAAGAUUAAACAUGGAUCUCAACAACCUCCACCAAACUGUGAUUCAUAAUAUGUUCAAAGCGAAGGCGAGAUUGCCCUACCUUCUGAAGCACCUCAUGGAAUGCUUCCAUGGCUGUCUUAUUUUCUUUCUUCAGAAACUGCAUACAAUGAGCUCAUAUGAGAAAUAUUUAAAAUUCAAAAUGCUCAGGGUUGGAUAUCAUUCAUGCGUGAGAAGACAAAAACAACUAAUUUUCUUGGAAGUUAAAUAACAAAAAGCAGUUUAUAGUUUAUACACCAGAAUCAUUUACCAUAAAAUUACUACAACUCUACAAGCAGCACAUAAGUAGUGACGCUGGGUGAGGAUUCGAUUGAUAUGACCGGUUUAGGUAGAAAAAAACAAAUAGGGCAAUUAUUAACUAGAAAAAUAUUCAUUCAAUCAGCUAUUAGUUUAUUAGUUAUGCAACAACAACAACAACAAAGCCUUUAGUCCCAAACAAGUUGGGGUAGGCUAGAGGUGAAACCCAUAAGAUCUCGCAACCAACUCAUGGCUCUGGCACAUGGAUAGCAAGCUUCCACGCACCCCUGUCCAUAGCUAGCUCUUUGGUGAUACUCCAAUCCUUCAGGUCUCUCUUAACGGACUCCUCCCAUGUCAAAUUCGGUCUACCCCGCCCUCUCUUGACAUUCUCCGCACGCUUUAGCUGUCCGCUAUGCACUGGAGCUUCUGGAGGCCUGCGCUGAAUAUGACCAAACCAUCUCAGACGAUGUUGGACAAGCUUCUCCUCAAUUGGUGCUACCCCAACUCUAUCUCGUAUAUCAUCAUUCCGGACUCGAUCCUUCCUCAUGUGGCCACACAUCCAUCUCAACAUACGCAUCUCCGCCACACCUAACUGUUGAACAUGUCGCCUUUUAGUCGGCCAACACUCCGCGCCAUACAAUAUUGCGGGUCGAACCGCCGUCCUGUAGAAUUUGCCUUUUAGCUUUUGUGGCACUCUCUUGUCACAGAGAAUGCCAGAAGCUUGGCGCCACUUCAUCCAUCCGGCUUUGAUUCGAUGGUUCACAUCUUCAUCAAUACCCCCAUCCUCCUGCAACAUUGACCCCAAAUACCGAAAGGUGUCCUUCCGAGGUACCACCUGGCCAUCAAGGCUAACCUCCUCCUCACACCUAGUAGUACUGAAACCGCACAUCAUGUACUCGGUUUUAGUUCUACUAAGCCUAAACCCUUUCGAUUCCAAGGUUUGUCUCCAUAACUCUAACUUCCUAUUUACCCCCGUCCGACUAUCGUCAACUAGCACCACAUCAUCCGCAAAGAGCAUACACCAUGGGAUAUCUCCUUGUAUAUCCCUUGUGACCUCAUCCAUCACCAAUGCAAAAAGAUAAGGGCUCAAAGCUGACCCCUGAUGCAGUCCUAUCUUAAUCGGGAAGUCAUCGGUGUCGACAUCACUUGUUCGAACACUUGUCACAACAUUAUCAUACAUGUCCUUGAUGAGGGUAAUGUACUUUGCUGGGACUUUGUGUUUCUCCAAGGCCCACCACAUGACAUUCCGCGGUAUCUUAUCAUAGGCCUUCUCCAAGUCAAUGAACACCAUAUGCAAGUCCUUCUUUUGCUCCCUAUAUCUCUCCAUAAGUUGUCGUACCAAGAAAAUGGCUUCCAUGGUCGACCUCCCAGGCAUGAAACCAAACUGAUUUUUGGUCACGCUUGUCAUUCUUCUUAAGCGGUGCUCAAUGACUCUCUCCCAUAGCUUCAUUGUAUGGCUCAUCAGCUUAAUUCCACGGUAAUUAGUACAACUCUGAACAUCCCCCUUGUUCUUGAAGAUUGGUACUAAUAUACUCCAUCUCCAUUCUUCUGGCAUCUUGUUUGCCCGAAAAAUGAGGUUGAAAAGCUUGGUUAGCCAUACUAUUGCUAUGUCCCCGAGACCUUUCCACACCUCAAUGGGGAUACAAUCCGGGCCCAUCGCCUUGCCUCCUUUCAUCCUUUUUAAAGCCUCCUUCACCUCAGACUCUUGGAUUCGCCGCACAAAACGCAUGCUGGUCUCAUCAAAGGAGUCGUCUAGUUCAAUGGUAGAACUCUCAUUCUCCCCAUUGAACAGCUUGUCGAAGUACUCCCGCCAUCUAUGCUUAAUCUCCUCGUCCUUCACCAAGAGUUGGCAUGCACCGUCCUUGAUGCAUUUGACUUGGCCAAUGUCCCUCGUCUUCCUCUCUCGAAUCUUGGCCAUCUUAUAGAUGUCCCUUUCACCUUCCUUCGUGCCUAACCGUUGGUAGAGGUCCUCAUAUGCCCGACCCCUUGCUUCACCAACAGCUCGCUUUGCGGCCUUCUUCGCCAUCUUGUACUUCUCUAUGUUGUCUGCACUCCUAUCCAGGUAUAGGCAACAAUGAUAAAAUAAAAUACAUGCUUUACCUGUACAAUCCUAAAACAUAUAUGUGUGAGUCGUGCUAUUGGUACAUUCUGUUAGUUAGAACAAAGCAUAUUACAAUUCAGAACAAUUGUUAGAAUUUCAUUAUCAACAUAUGCAAUAUUAUAUAAUUUAUCAAGUGUGUGCGAAUAUAUGUCCGUCAGUUCAGCCUUUUGGUUAUAUCAGCUUCCUGCAGUUAAAAACCUAGGGAAACCAAAAUUGCAAUAAUGAUUGAAGUUGUUGGUUAUUUUCGUGUUUCAGCUGAUUUAAGCUUCUUUAAUACAGUUCAGUCAGUUACCACUACUCCAUAUUAGCAUCCUCAUGAGCUGUAGGAUAGAAGAUGUGCAUACCAUUUCGAAUUCCAUGUUAGACUUCCAAGGGUCAACAUACAAGCUGAAAAUAAAAUAGUGAAGACAAUUACCUUUAUUGUAAAGAUUAUCAGUUGAUCGCCACUAGAAAGAAAAGAAAGGCUUCACAUGUUAUUAGGACCCUUACUCUAGGCAUGUGCCAUACAGUCGAACCAGAGCGUCAUGGCUGGUCUUCUUCUUGGCCUUGCUACUGGCACAUGCUUCAUCAAUGACCUUGAAUUCAGAAACAGAAGUGGUCUAAAUAUGUGCAUGGGAAGCUAGGAUGAAGAACAUAACAGUUGGGGAAAGUCUGAAAUGUUUUGUCUUUGCAACAUACAAGUACAAAGGUUGUGGCAUUGGCACUUGAGACUUGACCAAACUAUCUUACUCAUACAUGAUAUAUAUAAUUGAUCUACUACAGAUGCAACCAUCUGCCAGCGUUCAAUUUAAGCUGAUGUGCAAUGCAACAAGCAUAUUCACUGGCAUCUAGAAUUAUUUUAGAACCAUACUGGCAUUGAGUGCAGCAAAAAAAUGGUUCAACAUGUUGGGGUAAUCUAAAUUGCUGAUCCGUAGCAAAGCAAAGGUAUUUAGCUAAUUGAAGUAUGAAGUGCUCAGAAGGUGUAUGCAUCAUACCUGGGCUGGCCACCAUGAGGAGCCAUCAUGCUUAACCCAUGUUAUAUCUCCUAAACAGAAAUUCUGCCUUGGGUUAUUUUCUGAGGGUUCAGGACUUGAUGUGCAUGCAGCCAUACGACCAUAACUUUUCUCUGCACUUUUCCUCACCAUAAUGACCAAUUCAGACCUGCAACAGCAUUAAACAAGAAAUAUUAGUAUUGAUAUUGCCCACUCUUACUGCUUGUUAGCUUGACAGAAAGCUAUUCGACCAAAAGAUCAACUUAAAUUCACUGUUAUAAAAAGCAGUCGUGUAGCCUGACUAAGUGUUUGGCUCCAGCAACUGCCCACCUGGCACCUAACACCUGAAAUCAUCUUACUCAAACAAGGCUACAGCUCAUUCCGUGGUAUGGUUGAAUAUACGAUAUACCAACAUCAGUUUUGACGAUGCUAUAGCCACCAAAAUAUAGAGAGCAAGUGGCCUUAAUUUUUUACCAGAAUGUUGGUGUAGGUUUUGAAUAUGUGGCCAGAUGGCGGUGUUAUGAAGACUAGUAAGAUGCUGGGCAAGGAAUGGAGGUAUUAUGAAAGACUGGUACGAUACAGAGACGUUUCAAAUCAGUUCUCUCAGACGACAAUGUAAAACAAAACUGCAUCUGAAUCGGUUAUCUCAGAAAUAUGUUGCAUCGCCAACGCAAACAGCACUAAAACGGUGUAGUAUGAUGCACACCAUCACUGCCGUGUGACAUGUGCAAUUAUGCAAUUAGCGAACCAGAGCAUCAGACUGGAUCUGGAGAUCUCAAAUGGGAUGUGGCCUUACUCUCAGUCUCUCACCGAAGCUUAAGCAGUUAUUCAGUAUCAUUAUAUCCCUAAAAAGCACUUGCUCAGUGAAUUAAAGGGGGGUGCAGGAACAAAACUCGUCAAAUAAAUCAGGUGCAGACUUUUGCACUCUGAAGUUCGCUGGAUUUGAGUAUAUGCCCUCGUCCAGCAGUCUCUUGAUAAAAUGCAUGGAAGCUGAAUGUGCUUCUCAUGAUUUGCCCUGAGGGAUGUGUUUUCAACGAAAAAUCAACAAGAUGCCGCACAUUUAUUUGCAAUUUGACACAAAUGACGCAUGUACAGGUGGCCCCAGGCCCCCACAUGUCAGACAAAGGCGUGUCACUUUGUCAAAUUCCUCGUUCUUCACAUAACAAAAUCAAUUAACCCCUUCACUCAAAAAAAAAUCAAUUAAUCCUUUUUACCCGGCCAAGGAAAAGGCAACUUUGGCCCUUCUUUCCGUUGCUCCAGCACACAGCAUAGAUAGAUAGACAGGAGGCGGCGAGCUUUCGCUGUUUGCACUUGCACGUGCACGGCGCGCCCUGGGGUAAUGGCUCGACCGAUGCCAGCAAAAAUCGAUUAGUCCGCACAUAAUGUGGUCCGUCGCGCCUCUCCCCUCCCAAAUUCCCCCUCGAAAGCAGCCCUAUCUCGUCUCGCGAACAAAACCUAGGGUUCGCUCGUACGACGCAAAAUCGGGGGCCAAAACCUACGAUCUGGCAAGCGGAUGCGACGAGCGGCGAGACGGUGCGGGGAUGACCUCGCUGGCAGCCGCCGCCCUGGGUCUCAGCCGGUCGCCGGGCUGGAUGGGGGCGUGCUGCUCCUGCAGCGAAAAGAGGGGGAGCGGGUGGGCGCGGCGAGCAGGGAGGGGGCGGGAGAAGAAUGCAGAGGGGGCGGGGCGAAGGGAAGCACCUCGCUGCAGGAUGCCGCGCGGUCGCCGGCCGGAGUGGUGGAGCAGGCUGCCCCGCUCCCUGGCGACGGCGAGGCUGAGCUGGGUGGAGAGGUCGAGGGUUCGAGUGUGAAUGGAGAGGCGAGCUGGGGGAGCUCGGGUUUGAUUAUUGCCUUGGGGGGCAAAUGGGUCUUUUUGGUUUCAUUCACACUCUCGAGUCUCGAGUGUGGGGCCGGCGGGCAGGCUGGCAUCGCAAGGCAGCUAAAUUAUUUCUUCUCGACGACUAACCCUCUCACGGCAUCUACAGCGGGUUUUGUCAAACCCGGCCCCGGUCGUGGACACAACCACACAUCUCAAAUUCAAACAACCCUCAAAACAAAAUUCUCAAAUUCAAACUCACAAAUUAAUGCAAAUCCAUGCAUGUGCAUCAUACACGUGAAAUGUCGUAUCAUUGUAGCUCCAUGAAAUAAUUUUCCAACGAGUUUGGAACACUCCGAAUGCCCUCUUCACAUCCUUCCUAACUGCCUCUUGCAUUUUUUGUAAAGUAACUUUGUUUGUUGCCUUGAGUUCGGAUAUGGUUUUCACAAAUGCCACCCUCUGAGGAUACAUGCAAUCGAUAAGACGGUACCCCCAUGUUUGUAGUCGCGGCGUUGAUAGUGUAGUUGCAUGGCGGCGAUUCUCCCUUACAAUGUCUCCUGGACACAGAGAUCGCUGAAGCACAUUGAUAUCGUUGUGAGAACGUGACAUUUCAAAGAACCAGUCCUCGGAUGAGGAUGAUUUUAUUGCUUGGCAGUAUGAGAAGAGUGGUUUGUUCACAGUAAAAAGUGCAUAUAAUCCGGCACUUAGUCUCAAGGAGGGGAAGGAGGAGCAAGUGCAAUCUAGUGGAGACACGAAUGGGGAUAGGAAACUUUGGAAUGUCAUUUGGAAAGCCAAUGUCCCCCAAAAGAUCAGAACUUUUGUGUGGCGGGCGGCUUCUAAUAACCUAGUGGCACAGGUUAAUAGAGUUAAGCACCAUCAGGCUACUUCUGAAUUAUGCUCUAUUUGUGGUAUGGAGGAUGAAAGUAUGUUUCAUGCUUUGGUGACAUAUCCUAAGGUGAGUGCUCUGCACAUAGAGUUGAGGGGAGUGUGGAAUAUUCCCAGAGAAGAAGUGUUUAAGUGCUCAGGACCCGAUUGGAUGCUUAUCUUGUUGGACCAAUUAACCACUACUGUUCGUGAGCUUGUUCAUAUUCUGGAGAGCUUGACACUUACAUAAUGAUCUUAUUUUUGCCAAAGGGAAAGAAUUUGUUUCAAACUCGGCUAAUUUUGUGGAUAAUCAUUGGGCGACAUUUUUCAUCUUGCCAUCAUGCAAAAACUGCCACAUGAGUCAAAGGUAAGGGAUCAGAGGUGGGGUUGCAGUCUCGUACUUAUCCACCGAGUAUNNNNNNNNNNNNNNNNNNNNNNNNNNNNNNNNNNNNNNNNNNNNNNNNNNNNNNNNNNNNNNNNNNNNNNNNNNNNNNNNNNNNNNNNNNNNNNNNNNNNNNNNNNNNNNNNNNNNNNNNNNNNNNNNNNNNNNNNNNNNNNNNNNNNNNNNNNNNNNNNNNNNNNNNNNNNNNNNNNNNNNNNNNNNNNNNNNNNNNNNNNNNNNNNNNNNNNNNNNNNNNNNNNNNNNNNNNNNNNNNNNNNNNNNNNNNNNNNNNNNNNNNNNNNNNNNNNNNNNNNNNNNNNNNNNNNNNNNNNNNNNNNNNNNNNNNNGUGUACUAGUGUUGAUGAAGUGGAACUCAGGGCAUGUCUAGCGGGACUAUAUACCGAUAUCACUCUCCAUAAGCCUGUUGUUUUGGAAACAGACUGCCCUUUUGUGUUUUCUUUUCUUCCACAUGAUAACCUUGAUAGAUCAGCUCUGGUGGAUCUCAAGAAGGAAGCCUUAGCCCUUACCAAGCUUCUUCCAAAUGUUAAGGUGGUGAAGAUCAAAAGACAUGCAAACGAGGUGGCUCAUCAGAUAACUAAGUUUAGUUUUGAUAAUAGGUCGGGUGGCCUUCUAUGUAAUAGUUUUCCGCCCUGCGUAGCGAAUGUUGUAAUGAACGAUUGUACUCGAUCUUUUAAUUAAUUAAUACAUGGGUUUUUCAAAAAAAACAUGCCAAAUCCAUAAGUCAUGUGAUGCCAUUGCUUCCAAUGUGAUGAUGGUGGCCUCUUUGGUGUGAUCUUGGUACGUCCCGCUCAAACCUUUAGGGCGGUUCUUCCAUUGCCAAUUACAUGCAAUUUGAACCGAGCAUACCUGAAAACCUCUUGCCUUCCGAAUAGCCAACAACUUUCCUAUAUCCUACACAUUUAGUUCUCUCGUAUACUCUAGUACAAACACAUGCACCACGGUGCGAGCAAACUUGACCGUGGUCUUUAGGCAUAUGCCCUUCCCCAUCCAAACCAUCUUACAAACGGCAUCAGCGGCGGUACCGAAUGGAAGCAUCGUCCGCAACCGUGCAUUUCUGCUUAGUAGAGAAUGAUAGUUGUCUGCAACAAUCCCUGGUGAGCUUGAAGUAGGGAUCAAGUGCCUCCACUCCCUCCCUUUGAUUGAACCCUUAAAGUUGAGAAUGCGCUCCACCUCCCAGUCCAUUUUCUGUUGGAUGCUCAUGAUCAUGAUAUCUCGGCUUUCUCGUCAUUUUGAAUCAUUUCAUCAAGCUAUACCUGUCCAUACUCCUCGUCCGAUGAACCCCCUGAAUCCAUCGUUUUGCAUGGGAGCAGGUGAGAUCUAAUUCAAAAUACAACUUUCAACUCUAGUGAUUACCAGAAUUGAAUACUUAAAUUCUCCCCUUUGAGGUGGUCCCCGAUGCGGAGUCUAGAUAGGAGGAAGAUGGUACAUCCAUAAGGAAUGGUGGUGAGGGAAGAAGUGCAUAACGACGACACAUAAGGGAUGAAGAAAAAAUUAGUGCUUGUGUUGAUGAUUUUGUUAACAAUGAAAUUUUGAAUACUCUAGUUAUCAAGGUUAAUCUUGAAGAUGCCAUUUGUUGGACUCACACUCCUAAUUCAGAAUGUACAAGAAAAAGUGCAUACAUAACUUUUGUGUAGGUGAUCCAAGAUAGGUCUUUGUGAAGACAAGCUCUUACUUCGGAUUAAGAAAGUGUUAUCCUCAAUCAUGCUGCGAAAAACAAAACCAUGGCCCCUAGGGUCAAAACUUUUGCUUGGAGGCUUAUUAGGAGAGUUGUUGCAAUAUGAUUAAGAUCUUCUAUGUAUUCUAAUCAUACCAACAGAAAAUGUUGUAGAUGUAGUUAAAUAGAAUCUGAUAUUAACCUUUUCUUUCAAUGCAAUUUCUCUAGAUCAAUCUGGUUUAAAUUUGACCUCAAAACUGAUAUGCUGAACUCCAAUUCAUAUUUUGUUGAUAUCAUUCAAAUGAUCGUGUCUUCUCAGCAAUAUGAGUUAAAACUAGAUAUUGUUUUCACUGUUCUUUGGAACAUAUGGAGAGCCAAAAAUUAUCUCCAUUUCAAUAAAAGAAAAGGAGUCCUAUGCAAGUUCUCCAUGAUACAUACACAAUACUUACUGCGGGUUUAAUAGAGGAGAAGAGGGAAAGGAAUAUAUCUCAUGAAAAUAACAAUUAUUAUUCUCUCCUAAAUACAACUAUGCAUAUACAAUCUAAUCUACAGGUACUGUAGCAUAUGUGGACGCAACCUUUCGUUGGCUGAGAAUGAAGCCUCCUUCGAAGUAUAUCUCAACAAUACACGCACCAAGCACACCAUAUGCAUUCAUGCAGCGGCAACAAAUGUGCAAUAUGUUUUGCAGGCUGAAGCGAUGGCCUUACUUCCUACCUCGGCAACCAAUGCAUUGGGCUGCAGUUUUGCUUCUUUCUAUUCUAAUUGCAGGACUUUGGUCGACGCUGCGGAAUCAAGGAAUCUUCUUGUUAAAUUAUGACAUUAUUUCUUGUCUCGGGUCCUCCAAGUGCUCCACAGUCCUAGGCCCUAGAAUCACUUUGCUCAGGCUCUAGCUAAGAGAGCCUUCUCAAACAAAUUUACUUUGCUCAUGAGUUCAAAAAUGGCAAUUGAGGUCAUCUCAUUUCCCUUCGAGAAACUACCUUUGGUGUACUACCCUUUGCCAAAAAAAUCUUUUACAAAUGCUAAACAGUUCAAAUGUAAAAGUUGGCAAGGAUUUUUGUGAGUAAAUCUGUUCGAUUGUGAUGCUUAAACAAUUAUAUCAAAAUGAUAUGUAGGAAAGAACAACCAAUCUAUUUUGAAGAUUUUCAGGUUAGAACGCAAAUCUAGUGUAAAUGCAUGUUGUGAUUUUCCUAAUAAAAAUGAAGAUACUGCAUACACACACCUACCAACUAUAAAUGCAUAUUGACCUCAGAAAACAAAAAGCUAUAAAUGCAUACUAUUGGAAAUCAACCAUGCUAUGCUAGGAUAACCACUAAGAGCAAGUAUAAUAAGGUGACGUAAACGGCUAUAAGAAUUUAAAUAUUAUGUUUUUGCUAAGUUGAAAGAGAGAAGAGAAGUGGACUGUAGAUGCACUGCCGGCUUCAGCACGACUCCAAUAAGUUCUCUGAGAGUGAAAGAUUGGUCAUAUGUUAAUAAAUUAGUACUUCCUUAUAGUCAACUACUAUACAUAUUGGCUAUUAGACUACCCACAGUGGGAGUAACAUAGAUAGUAACAUCACACAUAUCUAGGUUAAAUAAAUGAUGUGGCAUUGUAAUAAAUGAAAAAAGAGAUGAAAAUGGUAUAGUUACUACUAGUAUGAGUAACAUUACACAUAUCAAGGCAAGAUGUAUCUACAACCUAAUAAAUGAAAUGUUGCAUGUUACCACACAUAUGUUACUACCCACUAUAGAGGUAGUAACAUAGACUACUCACAUGAGCAUGUUACUGCCCAUUGUGGCUUGUCUUAUAUUAGCUAGCGAAGUGAGCAUAGCUUGGAUGGUUAGGUUUUUUGUGGUACAACCAACCCAUCAAGAUUAAAUCCUAGACAUUGGUGGUCACAUCUUCCUAUAUUUAUUUCACGCCUUCCGAUUGAAGUUGCUCAUAAAGAUAGAGUGUGCAUAUGUACAUUUAUAGAGAAACGUUGGCUAUAAAUGACAUGAUACUCCAAUCGCAGGGUCAUGUUAAGUGCAAUGCUACAUGUAAUAACAGUGACAACCAUAAUUAAUCGUAGGUUCUUCCAAGCAUUUGAUCGAUGGUAGAUACUUCCCCUAGCUAUAGCUAUGGAAAUAGUAUUUCAAGUCGAGGUAUCACAUGUCAAUGAAAAUCGAAACUGCAGUUAAAACCAUGGCCAAAGCCUCAUAACCUGGUGAACAAGACAAUGGAACAUCCCAUAUAAUUAUAAUGUGUGGCUACUACAUACAACAGCAGCCGCAGGCACAUAUUCAGCAACGCUUGAUGUUCACGUUGCCAGCCUAAGAAACAAAACUCUCAACGCCGGAAGGUAACCAAGCAACGCAACUCAUCGGUUGACUGUCGUCGUAUUCUCGGUGCAGUUUUAUUACAAAAAGCAACAAUAACAUCCAUUCGGUGUGGCUUACAGCACCUGCCGUCACUUGAAAAGAAAAAUCACAGAUCGGUCACCCCAAGGGUUAUCAUCAAUCAGGGACCUAG
rnacentral:lncRNA from 1 species